rnacentral:lncRNA from 1 species
AAACCAUAAACUCAAACACAUAACCCUAAAUCCUAAACUAUAAAAUUAGAAUCUCAAACACUAAACUCAAAAUUAAGAAGCCCAAACGCUAAAAUCAAAAGCCAAAAAUCAUAAACACUAAACUUGAACACAUAACUAUAAAUUCAAAAAAUCUAGCAUCACAAACUAAAGCCACGAAGACUUGGAGUUGACUCUUGUUAUAGUACUGAUUCCUGUGAACAUUUGAAAAACAGUGAUUUUUUUAUGGGAUUAUAUAAAAAAGUAGAGAUAAUGUUAUGUAUAAUACAGAUACCUUCAUAAUUUUCUAACUAUUAAAUCAAUGGUCUUUCUUAGUUUUCUUUAAUGAUAAAACAUAAACUUUUCCUUUUCAAAAAAAAAAAUGUUACACAAACUUUCCUCCUUUUUUUAAGAAAAGUAAUGCACUGCAAUUUUUUUUUGAAUCCAGUAAAUUGUUGAGAUAUUCUUUUACCCAUUUUAUUUACUCAUUCAUGUUCUCAAUUAAUUUGGCAAGUGCUUUUGUUGCCCUCUUUCCUAGAUCUUCCUUGAUGAGUAUGACCGAUCAAUAGUAUUUGCUUGCAAUUUUUUAUUAUGUAUAGUAAAUCGAAAUCCAAUUAAUGUUGACGAGGAUGACCAAUCAAUCAUAUCUGCCUGCAGCCUUCUUAUUAUGUAUAAUAAAUCUCCUUCAAAAAUAUUAGAUUGAAACAAGAGAAAUUUAGAGUCUUGACCAUUGCUUGUCAAAACGUCAACUAUUUUAAAGAGGAACAAUAAUUUUAAGAGAUAGAGAUUAAUAUCAGAUUGCUGGAUUUUGCGAACUUAGAUUAGAGUAUUAUUCUGGUUUCUCAUCAGAGUACAAAUUGUUAGGUGUGGGUCUCACUAUAUGGGAAAUCCAUAUUUUCUGUCACAUAUUUAGUGUCUUUGUCUUUUUGGAUUUGUCAAAAAAAAAAAAGAGAGCCAGUCAUUUUGGCUUUUAUGGGUGGUGUGGGUAGAAAGUGUGAGAGCCUUUCUAUUAUUAUUGAGUGUCAAAUUCUCAAUUUAAAAAGAAGAGAAAAAUAGAGAGUGAGAUUGAAGCUCGUUGGAGAAAAAGAGAGAAUAGAAAAAUCAGUUUUUUAAGCUUGGUGCAGCAGUGAUCAACUCUUCAAUCAAAUGUCCAUCCGUGGUUCGAUUGAGCUGAUUUCUGGACAGCAGCUAGGCGAUAAGGUGUUCUUGACUUUGUACGGUCGGAUUUUUCAUCCGAGUCUUGUAGCGUCGGAAAUACCCAUUUUUCAGCAGCUACGUUUUUGGUGAUGUUCUCUCAAAUUUCUCUCUUUUGCUAAAGAUUACAUAUUGUUAGCCUUGUCGGAGUUGAAUGCUUGUUGUAGGCUUGAUAUUGUGAUCUUGUAGUCGAACAUUUGAUGAUAGUGGAGCUCUUUAUCGGACUCUAAAGUCCCGUGAUUUUUACCCUUGAUUUAGAGGGGUUUUCCACGUAAAAAUAUCGGUGUUUCUAUUUAUUUUUGUUGUGGUUGCAUUAGUUGAUUUGUGGUUGAUUAAGGUUCCUAGAGAACAUAUUUUGUGCUAUUGUGCUUGCCAUAAUUUUUGACAGGAGUUAUAGGGAGAGAAAGAACACCGGUUGUGCUUUCGUUUUGUUUCGGUUGUUCGUUUUCUUCCCAACACAAAUCACAAACAAAAGCAUUUUUAAAUUCAAACUUAUUAACAUUAAGUUCAAAUUUUUGCAUCUAUGUUGGAAUCAUUUCAUUAAAAGAAUCUGUAAUGCAAUGUAUCUAAAAAGAAAAAAUCUCAGUUUGAUGAAAGUUUUGCGGUGUCAUGGAAGAGAUAACUCUAAAAUGUAGUACAUAAUGUUUUUUAUAUAAGGAAAGUUUUUGUGUUUUAUUAUUAAAAAAAACUAGGAAAAUUUAAAAAGGUUUGUAUUAAUUUAGUCUGAUCUGAUAGUUAGAAAAUUAUGUAUGGUGUCGGUAGAUCUUUCCCUUAAAAUGAAUAAUCAAGAAAAUAAGAAAUGCAACAAAUGAUAAAUAAAAAAGUUAAUAGUGGAUUGAACGAAGAAAUGUUAAAUUUCAGACUAGAAAACGACAAAGACUUAAAAGUCGAGUCAACUACUCCCGUAAAUAUCCUGGGGAUAUGUAAUAAAAAGAAUGGUUUAAACGACCAAGACUUGCAGUCAUUUUCAUGUCGAGGGGUUAGCUGUCCUCAAGUACACUAUUAAACUUACCGUGUAAAACAUGUUAAUGUAUGUAAAAGCAAUUACUUAUGCACUGUUCAUCCAUGGAAAGAUAAAUUUAAUUUGGAAGGAAGGUUCCUUUACGCCUUUGUGAAUGAGUCAACACAAGACUAAUGAAUCAUGGGCUCACUUUAAUUAGUAUGUUACAGUGGGUUUGAAACUUCGUACAUGCUAUUCCUAUAAAUUACCAACCAAUAGUUAGAUGUUACCCAACAAAUUCUCCUAGCGGAAAAAGAGCUUUUCUUUUUCCAAAAAAGAAAGAGAGAGUGCGAUGGACCUCCGUUGUCUGCUUAAGGAGAUUGCUACGUUUGCAGUUAACUUAACAAUUUUAGCAACUUGCGUAGCAGGUCAUGCAAAACCAGGGUGCCAAAGCAAGUGCGGAAAUCUAAGCAUCCCAUACCCUUUUGGAACAGGUAAUGGUUGCAACAUCAGCAUCAACUUCUUUAUCACAUGCAACACUACUUUCAAUCCCCCAAAAGCAUUCUUAACAACAGGUGAUCUUGAAGUUCUCUACAUCUCCCUGGACGGUUAUUUGCGCAUCCAAACUGCAGCAGGUUAUGACUGUUAUAAUUCAUCAGGACGUAGUUCCUAUCAAAUUAGAGGGAUCCGUCUUGCAAAAUUCCCCAUAUCUCAUACCAAAAACAAGUUUACUGCCAUUGGUUGUGAUACCUAUGCUUACGUCCAAGGUUCCUUGGGACAUACCUAUUCAACCGGGUGUUUAACAUUUUGUUAUAACACUUCUGAUGGAAUAAAUGGAUCUUGCUCUGGCAUUGGUUGCUGCCAGACGGUUAUCCCCAAAGGAGUAAGGGGUUAUAGUGUAAGGUUGUCUAGUUCUUACAAUCAUUCUUAUGUAUUAGACUUCAAUCCUUGUAGCUAUGGAUUUGUUGUGGAAGAUGGGGCCUAUAACUUCUCUGUCUCACAUCUUGCCGACAAUAGUUUUAGCAACAAGACAUUCCCAAUCAUACUUGAUUGGACAAUCGGGAAUCAAACUUGUAAAGAAGCCAAAAUGCAUCCACUUAAUUAUGCUUGCAAGGAAAACAGUGCUUGCAUAGAUGCAGAAAAUGGCCCUGGAUAUUUGUGCAAGUGUGUUUAUGGUUUUCAAGGUAACCCUUACCUCCUCCACGGCUGCCAAGGUAAAGACAUCAACUUCUUCAUUUUGGAUUCAUUUUGAUGAUAUAGCUUUGUGCCCGAUAUACUAAUUUUUGUUCUUUGGAAAUGUUUGAAUUAUGUAGAUAUUAAUGAAUGUGAUAAACUGAAGCCUUGCAGUGGAACAUGUCAUAAUACGCCUGGAAGUUAUUAUUGUUCGUGCCCGGAGGGGUUUGAGGGUGAUGGCUGGAAAAACGGAACAGGAUGCCGUCCUAAAGUCGUUACCCAGAGCCAGAGUUUUCCGGUUCUUGUCGUUGCACUAGGUUGGUAAACAUAAAAGCUAUUAUAUAAGUUAAGGGAUAAUAAUAACUUUAACCUUAUUUUUUUUUCAAAUUGAUAAUAUUUAUAUCUUUUUUCAGUUUGAUCCUUAUUUUUUUAGUCAAAAUUUGCAGUCCACAUUUUUAAAAAGUCCAAAUUUGACCCACAGCUUUUCAAAAAAUUAAAUUUAACUAUUGGUCUUUCAAAAAGUGUCCAAAUAUUAUAUUUAACAAAAAUAUUAACUAAAACAUUAAAUUUUUAAAUAUCGUAACCCAGAUGAAUAAUCCACAUGUACUUUAUACUAUAUUUUUAAUUUUUAUGAGUUUUUUUAUUGAAUUUUGAAUUUUGAAUUUUGAAUUUUGAAUUUUUUUAGUUUUGAAUAUUUUUAUAAUUUUUGAAUAAUUUGUAUUACGCAUGUAGAAUAAAUAAUGUCAUGUAUACAUGGACUACCACACGAGUCACCAGACCAAUAUCAUUAAAAAAUAAUAUUUUAGUUAACAUUUUCGUUAAAAAAAUAAUUUGACUUUUUUUACAAGAUUAAUAAUCAAAUUUAACUUAAAAAAAAAUAAGGAUCAAGUUGAUCAAAGAUGUAAAAAUAUGAGUAUACAUUUUUAAUAGCCAAAUUGGUAUAAAUGUACACAAAUUAGCUAAGUUUAAUUUUUUAGAUAUAAAUCCUUUAUUUUAUUAAAAUCAUAAAUUUUGCAGUUAUUUUUAAAAAAAUAAUCAUAUAAUCUUAAUGUUUCUAAUUACCCAACUAAUAAUCAUAUACAAAUGUAUUGUCUCCUUAAUUACUGGUAUAGGAGUAAGCCUUUUAUCUUCGCUUUUGUUCUCCUCAUGGGUGUACUUGGGGCUCAAGCAAAGGAAGCUCACCAAACUGAAACAGCAAAAUUUUCAGCAAAAUGGUGGGACUUUGUUGCGGGAACAACUUUCGAAACGUGAAGAGUGUGGCGAAACAGCUAAAAUCUUUACAGCCGAAGAACUAAAAAAUGCAACCAACAACUACCAUGACAGUAGAAUCGUUGGACGAGGAGGUCAAGGUACUGUUUACAAAGGAAUACUGUCUGAUGGUCGCAGUGUUGCCAUAAAAAAGUCCAUCAUUGGAGAUCAAAACUAAGUUCAACAAUUCAUCAAUGAAGUUAUUGUGUUAUCCCAAAUCAACCACAGAAAUGUGGUGAAACUCUUGGGAUGUUGUUUGGAGACACAAGUCCCUUUGCUUGUCUAUGAAUAUGUAAGGAAUGGAACCCUCUGUUAACAUUAAUGGGAGACAACAUUAAUGGCAAACAAUACAAAGUGGUGCAAGUUUAGCACCCUAAAGUUGACUUUGAAAAAGUGGCAUGGGAUAAUUUUUUUUGGUCCUUGAGAUAAUGGACUAUUUAUUGUUUGGUCCUUAAACCUCAACUAUAAAUAGGCCUUCUCAUUUUUCAUUUCAAUUCAUCCCAACCAAUCUUUCUCUCUUAGUUUUCUCUCUUCUCCCAUUUGAGAAUUCUUAAGGAAUUCUAUUUGUUUGUAAUAUUUUGGAGAUAGUAAAGUUAUCAUCUGGUUUUAGUAGCCCGAGGACGUAGGUAUAAUUUACCGAACCUCGUUAAAACUCUUAUGUUCUUUUUGUCCUAUUUUUCUUUCAAUAUUUGAGGGUAUAAUAGUAGUAUUUAAUUGUGCUAUUAAAUUACUAUAGAAGGGAUAUUCUGACUAAGGAAAGACUUGGUAUUUAAGAGAUCCAUGUGAUCCACCUCUCUUCCCUGGGAAUUGAACUUUGUGUGAUUUUUUAGUACAAUAAUUUACACGCUUCCGACCCUAUUGGAACAACAAGUGGUAUCAAGAGCCGAAGGUUAAUCGUAGUAUGCUCUGUGGUUGCAGUUUAAACUGAUCUUCCACAUCAGAAAAGAUUUCCUUAGGUAUAUUGAAAGAUUAUGGAGAAAACGGUCGGUGUAGGAGCUUCAACAUCGUCCAUGUGGACAAGACUGACAAUUGCAAAUGCAAGAUUGGCCGUGGAGAUCUUUGAUGGCACGGGCCAUUUUGGUAUGUGGCAAAGUGAGGUUCUAGAUGCCCUUUUUCAGCAGGGUCUAGACAUUUCCAUUGAUGAAGAGAAACCAGAUGAUGUACAGGAGAAAGAUUGGAAGACGAUCAAUCGGUUGGCAUGUGGCACAAUUCGAUCAUGCCUUUCUCGAGAGCAGAGGUAUGCUUUUUCAAAGGAGACUUCUGCAAAUAAGUUGUGGGUGGCACUUGAAGAAAAAUUUUUGAAGAAAAACAGUCAAAAUAAGCUCCACUUGAAGAAAAGACUGUUUCGCUUCACAUACGUCCCAAGUACCACAAUGAAUGAUCACAUCACCAAAUUUAAUCAGUUAGUCACUGAUUUGCUGAAUAUGGAUGAGACAUUCAAAGAUGAAGAUUUUGCUUUGAUGCUGUUGGGGUCACUUCCUGAGGAGUUUGAGUUCCUAGAAACUACUCUACUUCAUGGCAGGAGUGAUAUAUCUCUGAGCGAAGUCUGUGCGGCCUUAUACAGUUAUGAACAGAGAAAGAAGGACAAACAGAAAAACUCAAUCAGAGAUACAGAAGCUUUAGUAGUCCGAGGUCGUUCAUACACUCGGAAGAAAACUCAAAAGGGGAGAUCAAAGUCAAAGUCCAGACUCGGGAAAGAUGAAUGUGCUUUUUGUCAUGAGAAAGGCCACUGGAAGAAAAAUUGUCCAAAGCUGAAGAAUAAGGGAAAAGCUGCUGUAGAUGCUUGUGUUGCUAAGCAUGAUACUAGUGACUCUGAACUAUCACUAGUUGCAUCAUCAUCGUCAUUCCAUUCAGAUGAGUGGAUAUUGGAUUCGGGUUGUACCUAUCAUAUGUCCCCUAACUGAGAGUGGUUCUCUGAUUUAGUAGAACUAAAUGGAGGAGUUGUUUAUAUGGGCAAUGACAAUGCCUGUAAAACUGUUGGGAUAGGUUCAAUCCAAUUAAAGAAUAAAGAUGGAUCAACCAGAGUUCUGACUGAUGUUCGGUACGUCCCCAGUUUGAAGAAAAAUCUCAUCUCAUUGGGAGCCUUGGAAUCCAAUGGUUCAGUUGUUACUAUGAGAGAUGGGGUUUUGAAAGUGACAUCUGGCGCACUUGUGAUAUUGAAGGGUAUCAGGAAAAAUAACUUGUAUUACUACCAAGGUAGUACAGUUAUUGGAGCAGUCGCUGCAGCUUCCGGCAACAAAGAAUUGGACUCAAUACAGUUGUGGCAUAUGAAGUUGGGACAUGCCAGCGAAAAAUCCUUGCAAAUUCUGGCAAAGCAAGGAUUGUUGAAAGGUGCAAAGGCUUGCAAAUUAAAAUUUUGCGAGCAUUGUGUUCUGGGAAAGCAAAAGAGAGUGAAAUUCGGUACUGCUAUCCAUAAUACAAAAGGUAUUUUGGAAUAUGUUCACUCAGAUGUGUGAGGGCCUUCCAAGACACCUUCAUUGGGAGGAAAACACUACUUUGUUACUUUUGUUGAUGACUUUUCCAGAAGAGUUUGGGUGUAUACCAUGAGAACUAAGGAUGAAGUGCUUAGAGUUUUUCUUAAAUGGAAAAAUAUGAUCGGAAACCAGACUGGCAAGAAAAUCAAGCGGCUUAGGACGGACAAUGGAGGGGAAUAUAAAAGUGCUCCGUUCUUCGAUGUGUGCCAAGAGUAUGGUAUUGUUCGACACUUCACAGUUAGGGAUACACCACAGCAGAAUGGAUUGGCAGAGCGUAUGAAUCGAACAUUGCUGGAGAAAGUUCGAUGUAUGUUGUCCAAUGCUGGGUUGGGCAAGCAAUUUUGGGCUGAGGCUGUGACAUACGCUGGCCAUCUUGUUAAUCGUUUGCCAUCAUCUGCAUUAGAAAGAAAAACUCCUAUGGAGGUAUGGUCUGGAAAACCGGCUACAGAUUAUGAUUCCUUACAUGUGUUUGGAUCCACUGCAUAUUACCAUGUGAAGGAGUCAAAGUUAGAUCCGAGGGCAAAGAAAGCUCUCUUUAUAGGAAUCAAGUCUGGAGUGAAGGGAUUUCGACUUUGGUGCUUAAGCAUAAAGAAAAUGAUCUGUAGCAGAGAUGUUACCUUUGAUGAAUCUGCCACAUUGAAAAAGGUAGCAGAUAAAGAUAUUCAGACGAGCAAUACUCCACAGCAGGUGGAGUGUACUCCAAAACAGGUAGAGUUUGAGCAGAUGGGGAUUUGCCCAGUUAAUAAGUCUAAUUCUCCAGUCACAAUGGAGGAAUUAGAGGUUGAAGAGGUUCUGACCCAAGAACCACUAAGUACAUUAGAACCAGUUGCAGUUGCAAGGCCACGGAGAGAAAUUCGUAAACCUACUCGAUUUACUGAUAUGGUGGCCUACGCCCUUCCCGUUGUUGAUGAUAUUCCUAUCACUUAUCAAGAAGCAAUGCAAAGCUUAGAAAGUGAUAAAUGGAAAAGCGUCAUGGAUGAAGAAAUGCAGUCUCUCUGGAAGAACAAUACUUGGGAGUUGGCGCAAUUACUGAAAGGUAAAAGGGCAAUCGGAUGCAAGUGGGUAUUCGCAAAGAAAGAUGGAUCUCCUAGCAAGAAGGAUAUUCGCUACAAGGCAAGAUUGGUAGCUAAAGGCUACGCUCAGAAGGAGGGAAUUGACUACAAUGAUGUAUUUUCCCCUGUUGUGAAGCAUUCCUCCAUUAGAAUUUUGUUGGCCUUGGUAGCACAGUUGAAUUUGGAGCUAGCUCAACUUGAUGUUAAGACGGCUUUCUUGCAUGGUGAGUUAGAAGAGGAGAUCUAUAUGAUUCAGCCCGAAGGAUACACAGAUGCUGGUGGUAGAAAUUGGGUUUGUAAGCUGAACAAAUCGCUAUAUGGAUUGAAGCAAUCCCCGAGGCAGUGGUACAAGCGAUUUGAUAGCUUUAUGAGAAGGCAGAAGUACACAAGAAGCAAAUAUGACAAUUGUGUGUAUUUGCAGAAGCUGCAUGAUGGAUCUUUCAUUUAUCUACUCUUGUAUGUUGAUGAUAUGUUAAUCGCUUCGAAGAGCCAAAAAGAGAUAGAUAAGCUGAAGGCUCAGUUGAAUCAAGAGUUCGAGAUGAAAGAUCUAGGUGAGGCCAAGAAGAUUCUCGGCAUGGAGAUAAGUAGAGAUAGACAGAGAGGCAAGCUUUGUUUGAAUCAGAAGCAAUAUCUGAAAAAGGUAUUACAAUGUUUUGGUGUAAAUGAAAACACAAAACAUGUAAGUACCCCACUUGCUUCUCAUUUGAAACUUAGUGCUCAAUUAUCUUCGAAAACUGAAGAAGAAAGAGAAUAUAUGGCAAAAGUCCCAUAUGCUAAUGCAGUUGGGAGUUUGAUGUAUGCGAUGGUGUGUACGCGGCCUGACAUUUCACAAGUUGUUAGAGUUGUGAGCAGGUAUAUGCAUGAUCCUGGAAAAGGACAUUGGCAAGCUGUGAAAUGGAUUCUACGGUAUCUUCGAAAAACCGUAGAUGUUGGUUUAAUUUUUGAACAGGAUGAAGCACUUGGUCAGUUUGUAGUUGGAUAUGUUGAUUCCGACUUUGCUGGUGAUUUAGAUAAACGUCGUUCAACUACGGGGUAUCUGUUUACUCUUGCGAAAGCCCCAGUGAGUUGGAAGUCUACCUUACAGUCUACAGUAGCUGUGUCUACUACAGAGGCAGAAUAUAUGACAGUUACAGAAGCUGUUAAGGAGGCUAUUUGGCUUAAUGGAUUGUUGAAAGACUUAGGAGUUGUUCAAAGUCACAUAAGUUUAUAUUGUGACAGUCAGAGCGCUAUUCAUUUAGUGAAAAAUCAAGUCUAUCAUUCAAGAACCAAACAUAUCGACGUAAGAUAUCACUUUGUGCGGGAAGUCUUUGAAAAAGGAAAAAUUCUACUUCAGAAGAUUCCAACAGCAGAUAAUCCCGCAGAUAUGAUGACCAAGGUGGUAACAACAAUCAAGUUUAAUCAUUGUUUGAACUUGAUUAACAUCCUGAGAAUUUGAGCACCUUCAGGUGUAUGGCGCUCGAGAGUGCAUUUGUAGGCACUACAAAAGAUAGCUUUAUCGAAUUUGGGGAGUUGAAGGAAGUGUGUGAAGAUGUGAUUAUCCUAAUCAAAUCUUCAAGGUGGAGAUUGUUAACAUUAAUGGGAGACAACAUUAAUGGCAAACAAUACAAAGUGGUGCAAGUUUAGCACCCUAAAGUUGACUUUGAAAAAGUGGCAUGGGAUAAUUUUUUUUUGGUCCUUGAGAUAAUGGGCUAUUUAUUGUUUGGUCCUUAAACCUCAACUAUAAAUAGGCCUUCUUAUUUCUCAUUUCAAUUCAUCCCAACCAAUCUUUCUCUCUUAGUUUUCUCUCUUCUCCCAUUUGAGAAUUCUUAAGGAAUUCUAUUUGUUUGUAAUAUUUUGGAGAUAGUAAAGUUAUCAUCUGGUUUUAGUAGCCCGAGGACGUAGGUAUAAUUUACCGAACCUCGUUAAAACUCUUAUGUUCUUUUUGUCCUAUUUUUCUUUCAAUAUUUGAGGGUAUAAUAGUAGUAUUUAAUUGUGCUAUUAAAUUACUAUAGAAGGGAUAUUCUGACUAAGGAAAGACUUGGUAUUUAAGAGAUCCAUAUGAUCCACGUCUCUUCCCUGGGAAUUGAACUUUGUGUGAUUUUUUUAGUACAAUAAUUUACACGCUUCCGACCCUAUUGGAACAACACCCUCUUCCAUCACUUGCACAAUGCCGCUCAUUCAUCUAUCAUAUCAUGGGAAGCUCGUUUGAAAAUAGCCACAGAAGCAGCAGAAGCCCUUUCUUACUUGCACUCUGCUGCAUCUCCCCCGAUUAUUCAUCGCGAUGUCAAGUUGACCAACAUACUUUUAGAUGAAAACUACAUUGCUAAAGUCUCUGAUUUUGGUGCUUCAAGAUUGGUCCCUUCAAAUAAGGCACAAAUAACCACGCUUGUGCAAGGAACACUGGGCUACUUGGAUCCUGAAUACUUCCAUACAAGUCAAUUGACUGAGAAGAGUGAUGUUUAUAGUUUUGGGGUUGUUCUCAUAGAACUACUGACAGGUUUGGAAGCAAUUUCUUUUGAAAGACCGGAACAUGAGAGAAAUUUGUCUCUGUAUUUUGUUUCUGUUAUGAAAGAGGAACGCUUGCUAGAUAUUAUUGAUAAACGAGUGUUGAACGAUAAGAGCAUUGAGCAGCUUAAGGAAGCGGCAAAUUUAGCUAGGAGAUGUGUGAGAUUGAAGGGAGAGGAAAGGCCAACUAUGAAAGAAGUUGCGUCUGAGUUAGAAGGAUUACGAACAACGCAGAAACAUCCAUGGGGAAUACACGACUUACCUGAUGAAGAGACUGAAUACUUGCUUCAUGGCUCUUAUGAUUGUGGCACUAGCUAUGAUGGCUCAACUAGCUUCACUGUGGGCCCUGACAGCAUGAAAAACCAGGUCCCAUUUGACAUUGAUGGUGCACGGUGAUUCUUUAAUUUUCCUUUGGUAUAAAAGAAGCCACUAAAAUGGACGGACACUAAAUCCUAUAUUCGCUAUGAUAUCCUUUUCUUUUCAUUGGAGUACGUAAUGUUAUUAGUGUGUUUUUAUAAAAAAAAUUAGAUUGCUCAAAGUUUUUAUAUUUUGGAUUUAAUUAUUAGUACUAGUUUUAGCACUUCUAAACCCAAGUCUAAUAUUUUCGAUGUGAAAAUUAAUAUGAUCAACAAAAUUUAUCCCUUUUUCUCUGAAAAUGAUGUUAAAAUGCAUAAAAUAUUUUUGGAAAAAGAAAAUCAAUCCCUAACCGUAGAAAUAACCAUGAAGCAUGAAUUUGAUCUCUUAUAAUCCAUAUUAUCGAAAUUAUGCAUUUUAAUUCAAUCUGGAAAUUUUGGCCCAAAAAUUGAAAUUGUCAUAAGUAGGUAUGAUUUUGCAUUAGAAGGAUGACUAGAUCUACGGUAAACUAUAACAUCUCAGAUUAUAUUCUAGGGCCAUGGAAUGUUACAGUUAUGUGAGCAUCAUGUUCAAACAAUAGCAGACUUUAUAGGUUCUUCUUCCGUGGGACGCCAAAAUGUCUUACGAACACAAAGUAAUCCCUCGUUGUCCUUGGAAUAUAUCAUUCGGAUCUCCCAUUGUAGUGAUUUAGCCAUGCUCUCCACCUCGCUUAUUGUUUCAAGAUUGUCUCGUACGAUCAGCUUUCCUUCUGGCCUCAGAAUCCGAUCAACUUCAACAAUUACCGCAACCAACUUGCACCUGUGGCCAGGAAAACAACAUCAAAUCUAUUAGGGAAGUAAUCUUGGUUGAGAAUGACAUCUGCAAGAAAUAUAACAGGGAAGAGAGCAAACCUCUUUUUGAUACUAGAGAAGAGAUGAUCAGCAUGAACAACAUCAUACGUUCUAGGGUAUGUAUUAAAUGACUCACACCAAUCAUGAUACAUUCCGAACAAGCCCCGUUCAUAGAUUAUUGGAAGUGUAUCGGGAGAGUCGAUUGGAACUACAUUCAUAACCCAAACUUUCAGGUAUUUCAGGGCCGCAGCAAACCUGUACACAGAAGCAAACAAGCAUAUGGGAAGAAUAAGCCCCAAGAGAAUGUAAACGUAAGUUUACAAUUAAGCUGAGCUUUUAGAUUUCAGUUAGGGUAGUUUCGGUCUUGAUUAGGAAGGGCUAAAUGAAAUCUGUCAUAGCUAGCAAGAGGUCAAACAAAAUACCCUCCAUAAACGGCUUUCAUAUCCAUGACAUUUCUCACAGAAGACCAGUCGAUUCCCAUCCCACUCAAAUAGGACUGGGAGACCACUUUUUUCCAGUGACUGUAGUCUGCAGUGAGAUCACUCUGUGCAGCUUUACCAUAAACGCCAACCUGAGAAUUCAACCAAUAUGGUGGCUUCUCCAACCGUUCCGGCCACUGUGCAGGCCAAAAGGAACCACGCUUUGUUGAAUCUACUGGCACUUUGUGCAUGCAGGCCUGAAGGGGUACAUCCCUGAUGGCAUAAACCAGAAAAUAUUGUCCAAUUAAAGUAUUGCAAAACAUUAUUUGUCAAAAAGGUAGGGAGUAUUUGAAAUGCUCCUUUAAUCUAGAGAAGUUUCCAAUUGAUUAUGAACUUUAUCUCAUAACGUAUUUAGGCAUAAUUUACACUUAUAAUGGAAUUGGACAAAUUACUUCCAGUCAAGGAAAAAUAUACUGAUGGUAAAAUUACCAGGCUGCAUUGGGGUCAUCAGAUUCUUCACAAAGUGGAGGUGCAUUUCUAGAUCUUUUAUUGUAACAAUCAUUGGAAGUUGGCUUUCGAUAUAUUGCAGCUCCAACAUUGUUCAACUUGUCCUUUUUAACAACCACCAGUUCCCAGCACAUUGACUUUGUUAGCCGAGACAUUUCUGCCAUCAGUAACCACAGCUUACAAAAUGGAAAGGAGGAUAUGUAAAGCUAAACCAAAAUAUUACUAUCUUCAGAAAUAUAUGACUGGGGUAAAAGCAUUUUACCUUGCCAAAUGCCAACAUCUUCAGGGCCCUUCCUAUAAACUGGUGUAGCAGACCAAACAAAGUAACCACCAGGUCGCAGGACACGGUUGAGCUCUAACAGAAGUUUGCCACCUAAUAUAUGCCUCAAAAUGUGUCUCUGUAUUAGAAAUAAUAUAACACUAUAUAACUAAAUGACUAUAAAUAUGAGAAAAUGAGAUCCCACCUUCGACAUGCCAGGGUACCCUGCAACGUGCACAGUGCACAAGAUCAAAGACAGAACUAGGAAAAGGUAACCUUUUGGUACCCAUCACAUUUAAUAUGGCAGGAAUUCCCCGUUCAAGUGUAAACUGCACUUGGGCUUCAUGCUCAUCCUUAGGUGCAAAUGACAUUGCAAGAACGUUUCUUUCGAAAAGAUAGCCUCCAAAGCUAGCCACCCCACACCCAACAUCCAAUACAACACGGGUUCUUUUUCCCCAAGCAAUUUCAGGAACAGACUGCAUUAUUGAAGCAAAUAUGCAUUCAAAUUUACAUAGUCAGAUAAUAGUCAGGAAAAAGAAUAAAAGCCAUACAAACUGAAUCCUAAAACAGUUAGCUUACAUGACUAAAAUAUUACACAAGUAGAAGAAAGGAGCAAAAUAAAAGUUAAAGGGAUACAUGAGGGAUACAUGUAUAAAAAGGAGCAGAAACAACAUUAACUAGCAGGGGAUGAUGGUUUGAGUAUAAGUUUUUGAAGAAAAAAAAUAAUGUCAAUGUCUUGAAAUAACUUCAAGUUCUUUGGGGAGGCACUGGUUACACAAUUAUAAAUAAUCAGAGACGUGUAACCAGAUAGACUUCUGCUUCAUUGAUGAAAUGACAUAUCAAAGAGAAAGAAAACCCUAGUAACUAAAAAUAGGCUAUAGCCAAUUUGCUUAUUAGAAAGAAUUAAGUUUGUGCUCAAGCACGUCUAUGUAUGAUUGUAUACAAGUACACAUGUACAGAGAGUGAGAGUCAGCUUAUUAGACUUAUGUAUAUCCAUGUGUAUACAAGCUGAAGCUUAAGAAAUACCUCAUUUGGAUACCUUGUAUAUGAUUGGCCUGCAUAUGGUCAUUUAUGCAGCAUUUCUAAAUACAAGAACUGUACUGAUGCAUGGAUUUAAGAAGAUCAUAGACCCAAUGAUUUUAAUCAUGUCAAUAGUAAACUAUCUAGGAAAAAGGAAAGGGAAAUUCUUAAAGUUGUUCUUCUCAAUUACAUGCUGCUUUUUCCUUUGAACGUGUAAUAAAAGUAGCCGGUAAUCUCAUAUCAGCAAGCACCAAGGCAAACUAAAAAGAAUAAUAUAUCCAGACAGGCUAUGUCAGUAGACAGAAAAUAUAUAUAACGAAAAGGACUUACCUCUUGAAUAAAAUCGAUAUAAUGAAGAGCACCAUUCACAAACUGAGUUCCACCACCAGGAAAGGUAAGGUAUUCACCAGUAACCUUAACCCAAUUUUGAUGCCCCUUAACCUCUGCAAGCUUGGUGUGGGGGACAUUGUAGUACCAUAUCUGCACCAAGCACCAAAGAAAUUUCAAUCAAAAUAAAUACACAAAACGAAAGCACUUGUUCAUGCAGUAAAUAGGUGCUUACUUUAUCUCUACUCUUAGGCCACUUUACCGAGCGCUUGUAUCCUUCAGGCAGAGGGACAAGACAUGUAGGAGCUUCAUCAGGACAGUGUCUCUCACGAUGUUCAUAGUGCAUUGUGCUUGGAAGCUUUCUGAUAACUUGCCAAUUGUCUAGGCAAGGUAUGUAGUCUGGCCCAGCAGUUGACUUACAGAGUUUCCAAUGGUGAUCAUUAUUUUUACUGGAUGUAGAAGACUGUUGUGAUUUCUUCUCAUUCUGGGAUUCUACUGCUUGAGUAGACCAAGCUCCAUUUUGAGUAGUAGUUUCGGUCAAAAUUUCUGACUGAGCACCAGCAGGGAGAAUCUCAUUUGAAGCUUGAUUGUUUUCCUUGCUUUCCACAAUAUUGUGAUCAGCACUUAGCUCCAAAUGUUCAUCUUGAUUUUUACCAUUCUUCUCCUCGGUCAAAUUUGCCUCUUUACCAACAUGUUUUAAUUUAUCUGCAGUUCCAUCUACCCCAUAAUUCUUCCCACUCUCAGCAGACUCAGAUCCGUUUUCACCUGAGCUCUCCUCUGAUUCAGUGUGCAACUUGUUUUUCAUUUCACCACCUUCAUUCUCUGCUUCUCCAGUCUCUAGAUUUGAUUCUCUGUCUCUUGAAUUUGUCUCCCUAUCUUUCCCAUCAUCUUCAUCCAACAUUUUUUGUCCACUUUCUGACUCGGUUUUCUCAUCAGAACUCUCAUUUGCAUGAUUUUCUCCCAGGUUUUUCUCAGCUGAAUUCUGAGACUCCUUUUCCUCAUUAUUACUCUCAACCACUAGGGUGUCCAAUGAAUUAUCCUCAUUAGUGAUCCCCAAUUCUUUACUAGACAGACCACUGCCAUAUUCUCUUGUUUCAGCCCCGGAUAGAUCACCUGAGGUAUCAUCAAAUUGCUUAGAAACACUUUUUGACAAUGUUUGUUUCAUCUCAUUUCCGGUCUCCAUAGAUAAAAAUUCUGAAUUCUUAACUGGAACAAUUGAUGAAGACAUGAACAUCCAAAUCCCAACUAAACAAAAAAUAAGAAACACAACUAUAGUAGCUAUCGAGCAGUAACUCGAUGACUUCCUCCCAUCUACUCUGGAAUACUUUCCGGUAGCCAUGCUUCUUUCUAUUGGAUUUUCUUGCUAUAUACAACUGGAAGGGCAAUAACAACUAGCAAUUAGUAUCACAAACUUCUACCGAUCCAUUCAUUUUUCUAAGGAAAACCAAUAGCUGAAAAUAUUAAAGCCAAAACCUCCCGCAGAAGUGACCAUUAAAUGUUGCUAUUAAAGAGUUAAACCCUAGAGUAAGUAAAAGCUACUCUUACCAGUAAACGAGAAACGUCAUAGCCUAGGUAACAAUAAAUCAGAUAGAUACUGCAUUUUUUUCUGAAUACAAUCUUCCAAAUAAAGAUUAAAACUUCAUACUCAAAAUGAAAUCCUUUUUUUUUUAAAAUUUACGAAAGAAACCCAGUUCCCAAAAGUCCACUAGAAUGUGAUUUUUAAUCUUUAGCCAUUAAAAGUUCAACUUACAGAAACCCUGAUCAGCAAAAAAAGAAAAAGAAACAGUAACUUAAAAACACCAUUAGAAGCGCUUCAAUUCCACGAAAAAAAAACCAUAACCAAGACAAUCCCUUAAUUGAUAAGGAAAGAACUCAGCUACACAACCAAAUGAUAUCUAACUUGAAAACAUGAACAACAAAGGAGAACAUUUUUUUAUUUAAAAAAAAAAAGAAAAAGAAAAAGAAGAAGAAGCAAGAGUAAUAUGUUCAAGACUGUACCUUUGGUGAAGGGUUGUUGAAGGGAUCUGGGCUUGGAGAAAUAUAGGUGGUUAUGCCAAUUUUUUUACUCUCAUAAUUAAAAAGAGUGGGGAUGAAUGAUAGAGGGGUGAAAUGAAGCAGAAGCUGCUACUGACUUGAUUUCUUUAUGCAAAGCGGAGGAAGUCCAUUCCAACGGUAUUUGACGGCAGAUGAUUAGUAUAUUGUAGUUGACUGGAUUCCAAAGUUACCAUGGAAACCGUAACAUUUGGAAACAUUAGAAAUGAUCUUGAAUAUUGUGUACUCAUUACUUGGCAAAAUUGACUCAUUAUGAUUUCACAUGCACCUGACUCAACUUUGGGAAAUUUCUCUAUAAAAAUUAUUACUCAAAUGAUUUUAUAAAACAUUUAUUAUUACUAUUUUUUAUAUAAAAAAAUAACUACUCUCAAGAUAAAUAUUUAACAUUUUAAUAAGAAAAUAAAUGAUUAAAUGACUGUAAUUAAUUAUUAAGUUAGAAUUAUUCAAUGUAAGUAAUUAAUUUCUCACAUAUCAAAUUUUUAUUAAAAAUUGAGACGUUAAUCAUGAUUUUAUAUUAUUUUUUUUUAAUCUAAUCUCUAUUUCAUUAGAGAUAUUUCUUCCUAACUAAAAUAUAACUAUUUUGCUAGAUGUUCGAUGUACAAUGAUUUUAGUUUUUAUAUUUCAUUUUUAUUUAUUAUAAUUUGGUCCUAUCCAAAAUAGAUAUAUCUAUCCAAAUCAAUCUGUUACUUUUUUUUAUUUAUUAAUGUUUUUUAAAAUCUAAUAUUUAAAUAUAUCAAAUAGUUUAGAUUAAAUAUAUUUAAAUAUAUAAGUAUUAAUUAAUUGUAUAAAAUUUUAUCAUUAAGUAAAUAAAGGAAAAUUAUAUGGCACUUUGGUCUUGAUGGUAAGUAUAGUGUAAAGUCAAGUCAUAGAUGGACAAUAAAUUUAUGCUCAAAUGUAAAUAUUUUAAUUCGGGACAGACAAGUUUGGCAUUUGCAUAUCCCUCCUCAUGUGAAGGAGCUUAUUUGGCGUUGUUUGCACUUCUUUCUUCCGAUUAAAAGUUGGCUUCUGAAAGGGGUAUUCCCGUUAUACAAGUAUGUAGGGAGGAGGAUGGGAAUGAGGACAUUGAGCAUGCCUUGUUGAGCUGCUGUAAGGUGCAAGUUGUUUGGACUACAGCAACAAUACCUACGGAUGGGAUUACUUUUUCGGAUUUCUCGUCGGGAUUGCUGACUUAGUCGAACAACGAGGCUCAGCAGGCUUGGGUUGUUAUGGCAAAUGUUUGCAAAUGUUUCCAAUCAUUAUGAUCUGUUAUGGGAAUUUAAGAAAUGGUUUUGUAGUUAAAGUCUGUUAAAAGUAGUUAGGAUUAUCUGUUAGGUGUUAAAGGUGGUUAAGGGACUGCAUGUAUUAAAUACGUGAGUAUUCCUAUCUCUUAAGCAACAGAGAAUGAAAGAAGUUGUUUUGAUUCAGUUUGUUCUAUACUUCAACAUGGUAUCAAGAGCCAAGAAACUUCUGGUGUAGUUUUUUUUUUCUUUUCUUCUCUGCUUUCUUUUUUUCAUGGCUACUGAUCCUGUGCCUGGGGUUGAUACGUCCUGCCCGUCUGCUGAUUCUCGGAAUGCUGCUCCUUCACCUGGUUUUGGCAGAGUUGUGUCACCCAUGAUUCACUCCUUUUCCAAGCAUGACACCAUCAAACUUACUGAGGCUAAUUUUCUUCUCUGGAAACAUCAACUUUUGUUCAUUCUUGAAGGUUAUGAUCUUGAAGGAUUUGUCCAAGGUACUCUUCCAAUUCCCUCUCCUCUUGUUGCUGGAGUCGAUGGUCAGUUAAUUGAUAACCCAUUGUUUCUUGCUCAUAAGAAACAAGAAAAAUUUCUUUCUUCUUGGCUACUGUCCACAGUUUCGGAUGAGGUUCUAGUUCAUCUUACAACAGCUAAAACUAGUUUUGAUAUUUGGUCUACUAUUGAGAAACGGUUUGGAGUUAAAUCUAAUCUAAAAGUUUCAAGAAUGCGUCAUGAUUUGUAUUCUCUCAAGAAGGCGAAUCUCACAGUUAAUGAAUAUUUGGCAAAGGUAAAACGGUUGAGUGACAGUCUUGCUGCUGCUGGAAGUGUAGUUACUGAGCAAGAGCAAGUUAGCAUUAUCUUGGCUGGACGCUCGCUAGAGUUUGAGUCUAUUCGCGUGAUUGCUUCAGCUAGUCCUAUGUCUCUCGAUCUUCUGACUGAAAUGAUUCUUGAUUGUGAGACACGACAGAUAGAAUUGUUAGCAGACGUACCUAUGCAGGCUAAUGUGUCUUCCUAUUCCAAGAAUCCUCAUCACUCGAAAAAUAAUAGUGAUUCAAAUGGUUAUACUCAAGAUUUUAGAUAGGGCAGUAGAGGACAUGAUAGGAGUUAGUCUCGUGGUAGGUAUCGUGGCAAUGGUAGGGGGUGGUCGCGUUCCAAACCCCAGUGUCAACUAUGUGGUAAAGUUGGACAUGUGGUGCAAUCAUGCUAUCACCGAUUUGAUGAGAAUUUUUCUGGAGUGGAGUCUAACGACUCAAAAACUGUCAAUUACCAUCGUUAUGAGCAGCAGUCUUCUUCUUCUUGUUGCAACUCCCAUUCACAACCAUCUCCUUCCUCAGUUCCACAGCCUUCCCGAUCUUUUUCAGAUUCUUCAGCUCAAGCUUGGUAUCCUGAUUCUGGAGUCACAAAUCACAUCACUCCUGAUGUAACCAAUCUCUCGACUGUCUCUCCUUACACAGGUACGAAUCGGGUCUUUAUGGGCAAUGGUGAGCAUGUUUCUAUAGCGCAUGUAGGCUUUUCUUCUAUGUUGGCUGGUUCAAGGGUUUUACAUCUUAAAAAUGUGCUUCAUGUGCCUACUGUUUGCAAUAACCUAUUGUUUGUUGGACAGUUUGCUAGGGACAAUUCAGUUUAUUUUGAAUUUCACCCCUAUAUGUGUUUUGUGAAGGAUAUUCAGACAGGGAUGAUUCUUCUCAUGGGCCAUAUGCAUAAAGGCCUCUACCGGUUUGAUGUCUCCCAAGAUGGUUCUUCCAAGAUGGUGCUACCCAACUCUAUGUCUGUGUAUCAAGGUAAGCUCUUUUCCACACCUUUGCUGUGGCAUAAUCGGCUCAGUCAUCCGUGCAAUAACACCAUUGUUCGAGUAUUAAAGAAUUGUAAUAUUUCUUUUCAGCAUAAUGGUUUGCCAAGUGUGUGUGCAGCUUGUCAACUCGGCAAAUCUCAUAGACUUCCAUUUAGCGCGUCAAAAACAGUCUAUUCUGUUCCAUUUGAACUUGUUGUGUCUGAUGUUUGGGGACCCGCUCAUUCAAGUCAAAUGGUUUCUGCUACUAUGUGUCUUUUGUUGAUAUGCACAGUAGAUAUACCUGGUUGUAUUUCAUAAAGGUUAAGUCUGAAGUGUUGAACUGCUUUCUUCAUUUUCAACAAAUGAUUCAAGCACAGUUUGGUUACUCUAUAAAAAUGCUUCAGACCGAUUGGGGGGUGAAUAUCGCCUUCUGACCACUGAAUUGUUCAAACGUGGUAUCCAACACAGAAUUACAUAUCCCCACACCUCGGAACAAAAUGGUGUGGCUGAACGGAGACACCGACAAGUUGUUGACAUGGGUUUAACUCUUCUGGCUCAAGCAUCAAUGCCUCUAGAAUUCUGGUCUUCUUCAUUUUCUCAUGCAGUCCAUGUAAUCAACAGGCUACCUACACUUGUUCUCCAAGGCAUUAGUCCCUAUGAAAAACUGUAUAAAGAGCUACCUGACUACUCUCGUUUGCGAGUUUUUGGUUGUGCCUGUUUUCCUUACUUGCGGCCAUAUAAUCAACACAAACUUCAGUUUAGGUCCAAGUGUUGUACGUUUCUUGGUUUUGGACGUAAUCACAAAGGCUAUAAGUGCCUCGAUGACACUGGUCGUGUGUUUGUGUCUCACCAUGUUGUCUUCGAUGAGACUCAGUUCCCGUUUCAGCAAGGGUGUUCUUCUCGAACUCUAGUUUGUCCCAAGGAGCAACCUCGUCAGCAGUCUCAUAUUCCUGUUGUUACAGCGCCAGCUUCUAACUCUCAUUUUUGGUUCUGAAGCUAGCCCAACCACCUCAUCUUCAAUCGCACCUCCUACAUCAGUUCCUUCUAACUAUAGUUCUCAUGUUGAUGUGUGUCUUCCUCUCCUCCAGCUUCUGAAUCCUCACCUUCUUCUUCUCCCAUUAGGCCAGCUGUGAAUAAUCACCCAGUGCAGACUCGUUCUAAAUGUGGCAUUUAUAAACCGAAAGUGUUCUCAUCAAUGGUGGCUGUGAAGGAACCAGCUUCCAUACAUGAAGCUUUUCAGAGUCCUGAGUGGUCAGCUGCUGUCCAAGCUGAAUAUCAAGCCUUGCUUGCGAAUCGUACAUAGGACCAUAUGCCCUUACCUGCAGGCAGAAGAGCAGUAGGGUGUAAGUGGAUAUUCAAAGUGAAGAAGAAUACUGAUGGUUCCAUAGCACAAUACAAGGGUCGGUUAGUGGUAAAAGGCUAUCUCCAAGAAGCCGUAUUGAUUUUCAUAAGACUUUUAAUCCGGUGGUGAAGCCUACAACAAUUCAGGUGGUUCUGUCAGUAGCAUUAUCCAUGGGAUGGUUUCUAAGGCAAGUAGAUUCAAUAACGCGUUCCUUAAUGGUGAUUUAAAUGAGGACAUAUACAUAGUGCAACCACCAAGUUUUGAACAAGGAGGGGUUAAUGGCCAGCAGCUGGUGUGCAAAUUAAAGAAAGCGUUGUAUGGGCUUAAGCAAGCUCCUCGAGCUUGGUUUCACAAGCUGAGGGAGUUUCUCUUAACUAGUCAGUUUGACAUAUCAAAGGCUGAUAAUUCUCUUUUUAUCAGAAAGUCUGGGGAUCAGCUGUUGUACGUACUGGUGUAUGUAGACGACAUCAUAGUCACAGGGUCUGAUUCAGGUGCUAUAAACCAGUUUGUCAAGGAUCUUGAUUGACAGUUUUCUUUAAAGGAUUUAGGGAAGUUGAGUUAUUUUUUAGGCAUUAAGGUUCAUUAUACCUCAGAUGGGCUGGUUCUCAAUCAAAAGAAAUAUAUUCAAGAUCUUCUUAAGAAGGCUUCUAUGGAAAAGUCUAACAGCUCUCCUACACCAAUGGUGUCUACUUGUCGACUGUCAGCUCAUGAAGGAAGGCCGGUUGACGAUGAGACCCGUUUUCGAAGUUUAGUGGGGGCCCUCCAGUAUGUGGUAAUCACUCGACUGGAUAUUGCUUUUUCAGUAAACAAAGUCUGCCAGUAUAUGGACCGACCCUUAGAUACGCAUUUUAAAGCAGUGAAGAGAAUUUUGAGGUAUUUGCAAGGUACACUAGACUAUGGUCUGCAUUUUCAUCGAACAUCUAAGUUUAUUCUUGAAGGUUACUCAGAUUCAAGCUGGGGGUCUGAUGUUGAUGACCGGAGAUCCACCUCGAGUUAUUGUAUUUUUCUUGGAGGGAAUCCAAUCUCCUAGAACUCUCGCAAACAGCAAGUUGUGUCCCGUUCGACUGCCGAAGCAGAAUAUAGGAGUUUGGCGAAUGUCAUAGCCGAAUUGAUCUGGCUUCAGUCGUUGUUGGCUAAAUUAAGUGUCUCGGUUCAGAAGAAGUCAUUGGUUUGGUGUGAUAGCUCUGCUGCAGUUGCUGUAGCAGGCAAUCCAGUCCUGCAUUCAAAAUUUAAGCACGUAGAGCUGGACGUGUUCUUUGUAAGAGAGAAGGUAGCAUCGGGUGUGCUUCAAGUUGGUCACGUGCCCAGUGAGGGUUAGGUUGCUGAUGUUUUGACAAAACCAUUGUCUGCAUUACUGUUCACCAAGUUCAGGAGGCAGCUUCAAGUUGCUUCAUAUGAAAGUUAGAAGUGUAUGGAGAAUGUUAUGGGAAUUUAAGAAACGGUUUUGUAGUUAAAGUCUGUUAAAGUAGUUAGGAUUAUCUGUUAGGUGUUAAAGGUGGUUAAGGGACUGCAUGUAUUAAAUACGUGAGUAUUCCUAUCUCUUAAGCAACAGAGAAUGAAAGAAGUUGUUUUGAUUCAGUUUGUUCUAUACUUCAACAUGAUCACAUCAUUAUUGAGUCGGAUUGCGUGUCAGUAAUGAAUGGUGCAUAGAAUCGAUCCAUUAUUGACAAUUCGGAGUUUGGUUGUUUAAUUUUAAAUUACUUAAUGUUGAGUUUUUUAUUUCAUCACUUAUCAUUUAGUUAGGUGUGUCGAUCCACCAAUAAAGUAACUCACACUGAAGAGUCUACUUUAUUGUCUUCAUUUUUUGAUAUUUUGAAUGAUAACAAUUUUUCUGUAUCGUCUUAUGGGUGUUUGGGUGAAUAUAUUGACUCGGAUCUUAAUGUUUCUCCCUAUUAAUUGUUGAUUUUGCUGAUUAGGUUCCAUUCGAAUAUAAGUUUUAAAAAUAAAUAAAUAAAUAAACAAAGGAAAAAAAAACAUAAACAUAUAUCUAUAACAUUACUUUAAAUAUAUUUAUAAUAAAAUUAUCUCAUACUAAAUAUAUAAAAUGAAAGUUUACUAAAAACAUAAAUAUAAAGUUGUGUUGGUGAAGCUUCUAAAAAUUGUCUUUUUUUUUUAUUUUGAUUGUUAUAUAAAUUUUUUAUUUUUUAUUAAUUUUCUAUUUUAAAAUUUAAAGUUAGCUCAUUUACUUCGGUAAAAGUUUAAAUUUUAAAUUUAGGUAAUAAAAAAAUUUUAAAGUUCGUAAAAAAUAAUAAUUUUAUCUAUUUUUAACCUUAUUCAUUCAUUGACUAGUGCCAAUGUUUUAGUCGGUGUAACCCAAAUUUACAUGGAUACAAAAAAGAGAAGUGAAUGUUUUACUUUAUUACUAAAACAAUGCACACAAACCGAUGCAAUUGACUAUUGAUCUGAAAUUGUUAAAAAAAAUUAUUAGUUGUUGGCUUGAAAUUAAAUAAAAAAAUUUCAAAUAAAGAGGUAAAGUUUAUUUUUAUUAAAAUUAUAAAUUAUAAAAAAAAAUAACUAUUUUGAUGUUUAUAAUUUCAAAAGGAAUUUUGAGUUUUGAUAUUUUAGUAAAAUACUAGACCGGCUGGUUAAUAAAAAUUUUUAACGGUAUUCGUGAUUUAGAUUAAGAAAUAACAUUAGUAAUAGUAGCAAAACUAUGAUAAAUUAAAGAAAUAAAUAUUAAAUUAACAAAUGAAUUUUAAAUUUUUUAUAAUGCAAACAUGAAAUUUAAUUUAAAAUAAAUAUAAAUAUAAAACUUUAAUUUUAAUUCAAUUAUAUAAAAAAAUUAUUUUAAUUCAAUUAUAUUCAAUUAAAAAAAUAAAUGUAUCAACUUUAUUUUCAUAUUUGAUAAAUAUAACUAUUUUUAUAUUCAAUAUGUAAAUGUUAAUAUGAUAUAAUUUAUGAAAACUGAAAUCAAAAUAUUAUAAACUCAAAAUUCGUCUAGUCUUUGCCAAAAUUAAGAGAUACAGAGACUAUAGCAGCCCAAAAAAAAAGUAUAUUAACGAUACCCUCUCAGCCCUUUCAGCUCUUCUGGGUAUACUAUAGCCAUACUUGUGAAUUUAUGAGAAAGAUAAAAUAUUCAUUCUUAAGCAUUGAAUAGCUUCAAAGAGCUGUAUUGCAAAUUAUGCUUACUCUGCCACAUUGCUCAAACGAAUAGCAGUUUUCAAUUUCUAGGUUGUAAGGCUCUUGGGUCCUCCAACAAGUUUCCAAGCUUCCAAACUGAAAGUUGUGUUCAUGGGAAAGGAACUACCAAACUAUUCUGCAGUAAUCCCAAGAACCUACAUCCUUUCCCACUGUGACUUCACAGCCAACUUAACAUUCACAAUCUCUAAUGUCAUCAACCUUCAUCAGGUACGAAUUCCAUUAGUUUCUAUCUUAGGAUUUGAACUUUGCACACUCUUUUUAUUUACCUAAAAGCAUGAUGGUGGUAUAAACAGUAACAUAUUUCAUGGAGUGAGCUAUUUGCAUUCAGUGCUCAGUUGAAAGGUUGGUAUAACAAGGAUGAUGUGGCUGCUGAGUGGAAGAAAGUGAAAGAGACCACGUUUCUGAACGUGCACUGUAACGUAGGCGGUCCGAAUCUCUUGCUGCUUAGUUUAGAUAACCACAUUUUCUCCAAGGAACUGCCUUUGCUAAGUUUUCCUCUAUUGAAUCAGGAAAAGAAUAGGACUAAACGAUGAUUAGGAAAUUUAGAAAUCGGCUUUGAAGUUUUGGACUUGGAGUCUUAAAUAUGUCAUAUUUGUGAUCUCAAUAUGAACUUGCUCCUUCAUUUAGCCAUUUCAUAGACAGAUUUUCUUUUUCUUUCGGCAAGCUGUGUUUUGACAGUGCUAGCGACAUUUUCAUGGCAAUGUUGUGUUGCAACAUAAACCAGGUACAUAAAGCUGUGCUGCAUGGAGAUUCAGUCCUGUUCGCAAAUCACCUGGAGCUAACGAACGCUGGAUGAUUAAACUCGAUUAUUGAACCAAGGUCUUCUUUUUUUUAAUCUCAGAUAUCGUAGCAUUAUUUGAAGCAACAUUAUUGGAAAGUACCCUUGUUCCAAGUUAACUGCCGAAAGUUCCUCUCUAACAGCAAAGUGGGGAAGAAGUUCAAAGUCCAUCUUUCAAGCACUGUUGACCUUCCUUCUUUAAUCCGUGACUCGAAACAAGGGGUCCAUUUCAUUAAAGGAUUUUUCUUCCAGUUCUGUUUGUGAUUGAUUGAUUAAGAAAUGUAAAUGCAUAUUUUCUUAUUCAACUGAGCCCAUUUCCUUCAUUCACUGACUAAUUGGCUAUGUAGUGAUCAAUUUUGGUCCGGGUCCGCUAAAAAAUCCCAAACCUAUAUAUAAAAUAAAUAAAUAAAUAAUAAAAAAUCACAGUCCAAUUACAGAAACCAAUAGCCCAAACUAGCAACCCCCAACCAGUUACAUAACCCCAGCCCAACAACUAAACCUAACCCACACUUACAAGGCCCGAUAGGCCCAAAAUACUAAAAUUAGACAGAGACCUAGCUGUCUGCUUGCGCCGCAGCAGUCCGAGCCCCCCAGCGCCUCCGUCCACGCCAACCCUGGCCUCCGUACCGUCAAGCACAGCCUCCGUACGCCAACACAGUCCCGUACCCGAGCGCCACGCACCUGCACCUGCAAAGAAAUGGACAAAACGACAACAGACCCAACAACAAAUAGAAAGAAAGAAAAAAAAAACAUUGUAUUUUUUAUUAGCAUUUGGCUAUAAAGCCUACGGAUUCUGAUUGUAAAGGGGUUCCCCUUUUGAAAAUAUACAGAAAACAUAUGCAAUAGCAAAACAAAAAGGCAAUAGACGAAAUAAGGUGAUUUUCCCUUCGUUUUUUUUAAACUCUCUGCUCUUCCUUUUUUUUUUAUCUACUCGAGUCCUUUGUUAUUUUAUCAUCAGAAAAAAGAAAGUGAAGGAACUCACCUGCGUUCCGAGGCCUUCGAGUCCUCGCUGGUUUCGCCACCAUCGAAACACAGUGGUGAUCUGGGAAUGGUAAGCAAGACCUACGAAUCUCUUUGGUUCCACGAAGCCUUGAUCGACCGUUCUAGAGGUUGAAAGGAGGGGCAGAGGAACGGACGUGGGUAACCAUCGGUCAGCCGAAUGUUGGAGGGAGGAGUUUUGACCCUUUUCUUUUUGUUUUCUUCAAAAUAAGCGGCUGAGCAUUUUCCUAGGCUAGUUUAGGCUCUUAUGUGGGGGUAUUGGGUGAAGACGUUUGGGCCAAUGUCAAUGGUCUUAAAACAACACCCUUUGGAGCAACCCUAUACCCAAUAAUCUGGCCCAUACACACUCAAGGUCUGCAUAUCUGGUCGUGGAUGGGGUAUUUCCAACACAGUCCUCCUCCCUUCGUGCUAUUUUCAAAUCAGCCCAUGCUCUUACCUUGUUUGUUUUAAUUUGCCCCUGUAACUUGCAUCCGUUUGCAAUCUGACCCACUCCUAAACACAACGUUUUGGGGAUCUGGUAUUUUGCCAGCUUUAGUCCCUAGAUGUUUUUGUGCGUUGGGUGUUGGUCUUCUUAUUAUUAUUGUCUUAUUUUCUACUUACCUCAUGUAUUCUAGUUUAAUUUUAAUCGAGUCCUUUUAUUUUAUCUCCUUUUUAUUUUAUUUUAUUUUAUUUUAUUUUUACAUUUUUAAUUAAUCUUGGUAAUUACUUCUCCGUUCUCGUAAAUUCUUUUUUUGUGUAAUAUUAUUAUCAUGUUUCGCACUCUUUAAAUAUUUAUUUCCUUUAUACUAUUAUACAUACACAUAUGUUAUAACAAAGUUAAUGUAUUUGCAUGUAUGUAAUGAUGCUUGACUCUAUUCAUGUAUUUUGGUGUAUAUUUUUUUUACUAUUUUAACACGUUUUGUACAUAUAUUUUGCGUAAAGUUUAAAUUAUUUUUAUACUCAUUUAUAUUAGUACACAUAUUCUAUAUAUUUCUAAAUCUAUACGUUUAUAUAUACACUCUCUUUACACAAAAGCAUGUUUUUUUAUCUAUUGUUAAUUUAUUAUAAAAUUAAUUUAGCUCUAUGAAUAUUAUCUCUUUUAUGUAGUUUUACAUGUAAUUAUUUUCAAAAGUUAUAUAUACAUACAUAUAUAUAUUGAUAUCAUUACUUUAAUAGGUUUUCCUACUUACAACUUUUUUGCUAUAUGAGUUAUCAAGUAUUUUCUUUAUGCAUGUAUAUGGAAGAAUUUUAGAAACUUUUUUUGUAAUUAUUAUUUUUGGAUGUUCCUUUGUAUUAAACCACUUUGUGUUUUAUAUAGUCCCUUAUUUAAACGUUUUGAUAUAAACGCAUGUAUAUACUUUUUAGACUAAGUUAAAGUUUUUUAUUAAUCUAAUGAUUAUUUUUAUAGCUAUCUAUAUAUACAUACGUUUUAUGAACAUACUUUGUGUACUAUAUUUUGCCAUAUGUCUUCAUUAUUCCUUUUUAUAUUAGACAUAUUAUUCAAGAUCGUCAUGUAGUUUGUCAACUUUAAAAUACGUUUGUGUUUUUAAAAAAUUUUUACAUGCAAUUCGAUUCAAACUUUUAUUCUAUAAUAUCUAUUCCAAAAAUCAUAUAGCUAUCCUUAGUUUUUGUGCAAGUUUGUCAACCUAUAUAUAUGGGUCCAUUUAUUCGUUAUUAAUUCAAAACCGUUUUAUAGCACAUUGGCUUCUAAUUGUUAUGUUGUUUUUAUAUCUUGCAUUGGUUAUCCUAUAUCACGCUAUGUACAUUAUCGUGGCAUAUUAUUGCAUGUAUUGUUUUGCUUGUGUGAUUGUUAUCAUUUUCGUCAUUGUAUUAAUCAUUUUAUUCCCCAUGCAUUAUUGUAAUUGUAUUACUUUUUAGAUUAGUCCAGCUUAAUUAUUAGCUUAUUAGUGGACCAUGUCUCGUACACACCCUUUAUCCUAUAUCAUCAUUUCUCACUUAGUUUGCGAAAUAUGGUUCUUUUUAUAAAAUUCAAACUUCUUACGAUUAACGUCAUCUUAUUUCAAAUCGAAUUAAUAUGUUUUUAAGUAUUCAUCCAAAAGUUCUUCAAAACGAAGACGAGAUUCGAUGUUUGGCAAUUCACGGAAUCGUGCCCUAACGUGUUGGGUUGCAAUUUCGCGUUUGCUCAAAAUAAUAGAAUAUCACUUCGAAAUUUCACUCGCGUCUUUUAAAAUUCUUCAAAACGAAGACAAGAUUCGAUAUUUAGCAAUUCGCGGAAUCAUGCCCUAACGUGUUAGGUUGCAAUUUCGUGUUUGCUCAAAAUAAUCGAGUAUCCCUUCAAAAUUUCAUUCAUAUCUUCUAAAAAUUAUUUAAAACGAAGGCAAUAUUUGGCGUUUGACAAUUCAAAAAUCAUGCCCUAUCGUGCUGGGUUGUGAUUUCUCGUUUGCUCAAAACGAUCGAACAUUCCUUUAUAUUUUCAUUCAUGUUUAUAAAAAAUUUACUUAACAACGAAGACGAUGUUCAAUGUUUGGUGAUUUGAGAAUCGUGCCCUAUCAUGCUGGGUUGCGCUUUUUCAUUGGUUCGAAACAAUUGAACAUCCUUACAGAAUUUCACUCGCAUUUUCUAAAAUCCUUCAAAAUGAAGGCGAUGUUCAAUGUUUGGCGAUUUGAGAAUCAAGCCCCAUCGUGCUGGGUUGUGCUUUUUCAUUUGCCCAAAAUAAUCGAUUAUCUCCUCGAAAUUUUCACACGUAUUUUAUAAAGUAAGGCAAUGGUCAAUAUUUGGAAAUUCGAAGAAUUGUACCCUACUGUGCUGGGUUUCGAGUUUUCGUUGGAUUAAAUAGUUGAGCAUCCUUCUGUAAUUCUCAAAUUAUAUACUUUCGAACAUCGAAACAAGAAAUUUUGGCAACCAACUCGGAUUACUCAAACGUUAUAAAAGGAACCCCAUUUCAAAAAAACUUUUAAUUUAGACAUAAGGACAGUAUUUAAUCGAUUUGAUACCAAUUUUGGGCGUAGUGAGGGUGCUAAUCCUUCCUCAUGCGUAACCGACUCCCGAACCCUUUUUCUCAAAAGUUCGUAGACCAAAAUCGCUGUUUUAAUAAACCAAAAAUGUUUUAUUGAACUAACCUCAUUCUUAGGUGAUCCGGUCACACCAAAAAGAUCAGUGGCGACUCCAUAUUUCUAUUUUCCAAAAAGUCGAUUUCCCUCCUUUUUUUCUAAUUUAAUUUUUUUUAAAUCGAGGGAUGGUUUCGACAGCUUGGUGACUCCGCUGGGGAGUGAACUUGAGUCCAGCCAUAAAAAUCGAUUAUUUGCUGUCCUUUUGUCAAAAAUUAAAAAUCUGUUUUAGAAAUCAUGUAUCUUUCGAUUGCAUUUGAUUGUAUGUUUGUUUUGGUGCGGGUAUUGUAGAAUAGCACUGCAUUUUAUUGCAUGACUACUGUGGUCACACCUUCUAAGUGGGAGUAAGAAGCUACGCUUUCGUGAGGUUUUCACCUCCGCAUGGGCUAGUGGAUUGCUGCCGGGGUACAUCCGUACCUAUGAUUUCGUGAGAUUUUCAUCUUCCCAUGGUCAUAGGGAAAUGUAUCCCCCUGAACCAAACUUGAUCUAUAUGAGCCUAUAAUGGGUGAGGAUUGAGGAAUCUACUGGUUCGGGUACCUCUUUUCCUAGAACUAAACCACAUAUAGUGAACCUUAGGAGCUAUCCUUGGGUGAAGCUGCGUCGAGCCUUAGUACUUACCCGUAUAUGCGUUAUAAUUAUCGUUUAUGUGCUUGCACUCUAUUUUUAUUAUUUGAUACUAACCGGUGUUUUAUUUUGAUUGUCUUUUUGCAUGACAUUGCAUACUAAAGGAGGCGUUAAUCCAUAUUCAAUUACUAAGUUAGAAAAUUUGACAUGGGGAAUGAAUUUUUUAAUAAAGUCGAGGAUAAUGCGGCCGUUCGUGCAUGGUCAGAGAGGCUACAAUCUGAGAGAAGGGAUAGCUUGGCAGAAGGGCAUGUGUCGGAGCUGCAGGAUUUCACUCGCGUCAAUGUAGUACAGAAUGAGCUGCAAGAGUUGAGAGACAUUUGGGCUAGUUGGGAUGAAAGGAUCAAGCAGUUGUUUUACCAAAGCUAUGGUGACAUAUCCUACCUGCUAGAUAUUAGAGUGGAUAAGCAUUUGUUCCAAGCCUUGGUACAGUUUUGGAAUUCUGCGUACAAGUGUUUCACUUUUGGAGAAGUGGAUUUGGUACCUACCAUAGAGGAAUACACUAUGCUGCUUAGAUGUCCAAAUAUUUAGGUCCGGAAGACUUAUGCCCGGGUUUUUAGUAAUCAAGCUUUCGCGAAGAAACUGAUGAGCAUUUCUGGGAUGAGCGAGCCUUGGGUCACUGCUCAGAUUCAACAAAAAGGAGAUAGCAAAUGUGUCCCUUGGGAGAAUUUGCGAGAUUUGAUCUUGACUCAUCCAGAAGAAAGAAAGAGGGUCGAUAUAUUUACCUUAAGCAUCUACGGAUUAGUGAUCUUUCCUAAGACUUUGAAGCAUGUGGACAAGGUGGUCAUUGACUUGUUUGAUCGUCUUGAAAAGGGAAUCACACCGGUACCAGCAAAUUUGGUAGAAACGUUCAGAUCUUUGAGCUCAUGUCGGAAGACGGGCUAGGGGCGAUUUAUUGAAUGUGCUCAACUAUUGAUGGUAUGGUUUCAUGGGCACUUUUGGAAGGUAGACAAGGUUUCCUAUCGAGUCUUUUCUGAAGGUUAUUCCCCUUUGAAAGAAAAGACAGCUAUACAGAGGAGAGAGGAUAUCUCAGAGGAGAAGUGGAUGGAUAUUUUUCAGAACCUCAAGGAGGAGGAUAUCAAGUGGAGAGCUUAUUGGAUGGUUCCUGAUGGGAUCAUGUACCGAUAUGGUAACUUUGAUUGGGUGCCAUUGUUAAGAAUCUGGGGAGCUAUCGGGUAUACUCCGUUGAUAGCCUUGAGGCAAUACAAGUCGAGAUAGUUUGUACCCACGACCUAUGGACUUGCUCAGAGUGAAUUCUCGUUUAAAGGUUCUCACUAUAAGAAGAGAGUUCGGGAGUUAUCGGAUGCUUGGAAGCAAACUUGUUGGAUGAAGAGGUUAGCUGUCGGUUCUAUGGUAACGCCCGAGUACAGCGAGUGGUUUAAGAAGAGGAUUAAUGACAAUAUUCCUAAGCCAAGCUUGGAGAGUGCUCGACCUGUCGGGGAACAAUUACAAGUCGCCCCAUCAGAAUUGGAGAUUAUAAGAUAAGAUUUCGAGAAGAAGAGUUUGGAGCUUGGGAAGAAGAUCGAACAAUUGGAGGAAGAAAAGAUGCACCUAAGAUUAGAGGCUGAUGUCCAGAGGUCAGAGGCUGAGAAGUGGAGAAAGGAAAAAACUAAGGCUGAAGAAGAUCUAGACAGUUUGAAAAUGGACUACAAGAAGUUACGCCUAUCUAUGAAGACUGCGGGUUUAGGUAAGACUUCUGAACAAUGGCGCCAUGAAAUUCGAGAAGAAAAGGCCAAUACUGACUGGUGGGAAAGGAAAUUCCAAGAAGCUCAGGCACGAAACGAAGAUUUGGAGAAAAGUCUAUUGGAAAACAGAAAAUAAGCGAAGGGAAUUAAGGGCUAGAGUGGCAGAACUUGAGAAGUCUCUACAUCAGUACUGAAACCGCAACACCGCAUUAGAAUUGAGGGUGAGCUUGAGCAAGAUAGAAGAAAUGAAAGGAAGAAUAGAAGAGUUAGAGGCGUCUCUGCAAAAUUGUGAGAUGCAGAUCCAGUUUUUCGAGGCAAAUGAGGAUCGUUGGAAGGAGUAGCUUCACCAUGCGCAAGACCAAGUCAGAAACAGAGAUUACCUUAUAGGGGAGGCCAUAACCCAAAUUCGGAAAGUAGCGGACUACUUGCAAACUUUAGCUGUUCAGGCGGACACACUGAGCAUGAAAUAUGAGUUAGAGUCGGAGCGCGGACAAGAGUUGGCCUCAUUGCUUAGAAAAAUUAGGACUUUGAGCGUUAGAGCGAAAUUCUAUUUGUAACUUAACUUUAUGUAAAAGAUUUUAUUUUCAAGUAAAAUUUUCUAAGGGCAAUUAAAUCAAAAAUUGAUACCUCCUUUGCAUUCAUGCAUUUGUAUUACAUCAUAUCAUUAUGUAUUAAGGGCCAUAAGAGUUUUCUAAUUAAUUAAUUAAAAAUUAUUUCAGUAACCUGGAAACCAACGAAAACCAACCAACCACACACCCCUACGGUACAAGGAAAAAAUCAAUUGAUAAGAGACUCGAGAAAUUAGAGCAAAUGCAAAAAGACAUGCAAGAACAAAUGCAGUCUCAGAUGCAAGAGCAGCUAGCCAAGAUUCAGCGAGAGAUGAAAGAGCAAAUGAUGGAGUCCCAGAGGGAAAUGAUGAGUCAGUUAUCCCAAUUGCUGUUGGGAGGAACGAAUAAGGGAAAGGGCCCCAUGGACAAAGUUGAAGAAGCUAAUGAGGAUCCUCAAUACCCCCUGGCUUCACUCCGACACAUGUACCAGUGAAGCCCGAGAUUAAUCUACCAAAACCAUCUGUCACGAUCAUGCCCCAACAGGUUCAGGCCAGAGCUUUAAUACCGAUGAAUUUCUAAACCGACUCAGGCUCUAACUUUGUCAACAACCCGAACUAUCUGCCCGUUCCCGACCUAGAUGAAAUUGUUGAAGAAGAAAAAGCGAGGAUGGAUUCGCAAAAACAAUUGAAAGAACGGUGUAGAUGGCUUGAGGAGAAAUUCAAAGCCAUGAAGAGCGCGGAUCAUCAUCAAGGGAUUGACGCCAAAGACCUGAGUCUAGUCCCAGACUUAGUCCUUCCCCCUAAAUUUAAAAUGCCCGAAUUCGAGAAAUACAAUGGAACGAGCUAUCCUGAAGCCCACAUCACUAUGUUCUGCAGGUGAAUGACGGGAUAUGUUAACAAUGACCAGCUAUUAAUCCACUGUUUUCAAGAUAGUCUGGUCGGGGCGGCGUCUAAGUGGUACAACCAAUUAAGCCGAGCUAAAAUUAAUUCAUAGAAGGACCUGGCUCAGGCUUUUAUGAAGCAAUACAAUCACGUGGCGGACAUGACCCCUGAUAGAAUCACUCUCCAGAAUAUGGAGAAAAAGUCAAAUGAAAGCUUCAGGCAGUACGCACAAAGAUGGAGGGAGGUGGCCAUAGAAGUUCAGCCUUCACUUUUAAAAAAGGAGACAACGAUGCUCUUUAUAAAUACCUUGAAGGCUCCUUUUAUCACUCAUAUGUUGGGAAGCGCCACCAAGAGCUUCUCUGACAUAGUGAUGACGGGAGAAAUGAUCAAAAAUACUGUAAGAAGCGGCAAGAUAGAAUCGGAAGCAAGUGCUAGGAAGUCAGCCCCGAGGAAAAUAGACAAUGAAGUGAACAACACGAGUACAUUCAAUAAGGGGCAGCCCAAGUUAAUUACCGUAAAUCAACCCAAAACGGUGACUACCAAUCAACAAAGCUCUGUAAGGCAAGAAUCCAAUGCGAGGAAGAACACAGAAAGGCCACAAUACACCCCUAUACCCAUGACGUAUAGGGAGUUGUACCAGAACCUGUUCAACGCUCAUGUGGUCUCCCCUUUCUACCUGGAGCCACUGCAGCCCCCGUAUCCUAAAUGGUAUGAUACAAACGCCCAAUGUGAAUACCACGCAGGAAUUACCGGGCACUCAAUCAAAAAUUGUACUGCGUUCAAGAAAGUGGUCGAAAGACUCAUUAAGAUGGGAAUCGUGAGAUUUGAUGACCCAGCCACGCCCAAUGUAGCAGGAAACCCACUCCCCAAUCAUACCGACCAAGGAGUGAAUGGGAUAAGUGAAGGCUUGAACAGCCAAGUAUGAGGUGGCAGAAAUCAGGACCCCGUUGAGGCGGGUAUGGAAAGAGAUGGCCAAGAGAGGAUUGAUAGCAUUGGAUCCAAGGGAAGAACCCGAAGAAGAGAGAAACUACUGUGAGUUUCAUGACGAGGUGGGGCAUGAAACCCAAGAAUGUGUGGAAUUCAGGGCCCUCGUGCAGAACAUGAUAGAUAAUAAAGAAAUGGAAUUCUACGAAGAAGCUAAAAGCCCCAUAGAGGGAAAUGUAUGCGCAUCCGAGGGAGAAUCAAAGGCACAGAAUCAAACACCUAAUUAUCCCGUGGUGAUUAUUUUGAGACCCAAAAAUAAUAAAGCUGGAGUACAAAUGCCACCGAGGAUUAUAAUCCAAAAACCUGCAGUUUUCCCUUACAAAGACAACAAAAAGGUCUCAUGGAAUUAUGAUUGCAGUGUGACGAUGCCGGGAAAAGAGAGCCUGGUUGGCGCUUCAAGAGGGGAUCAAGAUAGAGGUUCCUAUACACGUAGCGAGAGGCGUUACAAUACGGUGAAUAAGGAGGAACAACCCACAAAAGGAAAAGCCCAGGUGGUCGAAGAAAUGAAGGGAAAAGUAACCAAACUUGUUAAUGAGCUAGUUAACGAAGAGGAGACCAAGGAGUUUUUAAAGUUCCUAAAGCAUAGCGAAUACAGUGUGGUGGAAUAGCUACGUAAACAACCAGCCCGCAUUUCAGUGCUGGCCUUGCUUCUGAGCUCAGAAGUCCAUCGUAGCGCGCUAAUGAAGGUCUUGAAUGAAACGUAUGUUGCCAAUGAUAUUUCCGUUAACAAGUUAGACUGCUUGGUUAACAACAUCAGUACCGAUAACUAUAUCUUCUUUAAUGACGAUGAGAUAUCUCCCGGGGGCAUGGGGUCAACUAAAGCUCUGUAUACCACCACACGCUAUAAAGGGUAUACGUUGCCAGGCGUACUGAUUGACAAUGGAUCGGCUCCUGCCGUUGACCACGCUAAACAGAUUACCUAUAGACAGCUCUCACAUGAAAGAGUGCCAGAGCAUCGUGAAGGCAUUCGAUGGCACGGAGAGAAAGGUGAUGGGCAGAAUCGAUGUACCUCUUUAGAUUGGGCCAAAUACAUAUGAGGUGGAUUUCCUCGUAAUGGACAUCAAGCCCUCAUACAAUUGCUUGUUGGGGAGGCCCUGGAUACAUUCAGCUGGGGCAGUGCCUUCCUCGUUGCAUCAAAAGUUGAAGCUAGUAUCGGAGGGGAGGUUGAUAACGAUCAAGGCUGAAGAAGAUAUUAUUGCAACUGUGAGCAAUAAUGCACCCUAUUUGGAGACAGAUGACGAAGCAAUCGAAUGCUCAUUUCGAUCUUUGGAAUUUGUUAACGCGACGUUCAUCGCCGAGGAAAGCAAAAUUCUGGUGCCAAAAUUGUCCAAAACCACGAGGAUGAGCCUCCAGUUGACGAUUGUAAAAGGGGCCCUACCCGGAAGGGGACUUGAGAGACACCUACAAGGAAGGAUCGAAACGCCAAUGCUGAAAGAAAAGAGAGACCGCUUCAGCUUAAGAUUUAAGCCGGAUGUGAAACAAAGGAGAAGGGAGUUGGAAAAGAAGUAAGAAAGAAGGAGAGCUCGAUUAACGGGGGAGGAAAUCAAGUGAGAACAAUGAUAUUCCCCUAUAUAUCGAACACAUUUGUGUUUGGGGGAAUCAUUCAUCCCGAGAGAGACACGCUAAUGACGGGAGCUAUAGAAGAAAGGCUGGAAAGCUUGGACGUCAACGUCAUGUAUGAAGAGGAGACUGGAAGAGAAAGUUUAUUGGACAUUGGCCCCUACACACCUGGAAGUGUUCUGGACAACUGGACUACGGAAGAGAUCCCUGUAGUUUUUAGAACGAAUUCAGAGUAAUGUCUAAAACACACUUAUUGUUCUAGGCCUAGGAGUGAAAAGGAUCUUUUGUGAAAUAGGCUGAUGUUUAAAAACGUUCCUUCAAUAAAAUGCACGGUUAUUAUCAUUUUUGAGCAAAUGUUAUCUCGUCCUUUCAAUUCCAUUCAUAACCAUACAAAUGAUUACUUUCGAAUUCUUUUAUUCUUGAAACAUUCUUCUAAAUAUUCUUUCAUUCGUCAUUCAUAAUCAUAUCAUGCAAACAAAUGUUUUGAAUUCUUUUGAUUCUUUGUAUCUGCCUUCGUCCUCACAACAGGUCCCCAGAUAUUAAUGAUACGAGUGACGCUGCUAGCGACUCAGAAUUUCCUUUCAAGCAAGAUGUGUGUAUGGAGGGUUCUCGGGAUUUUGAAGAUGACCAAGGCUAUAACCUAUCUCCUAAUUUGUUGAGGAUGGUAGAACAAGAGGAGAAACAAAUCCUACCUCACAAAGAAUCAGUUGAAAUUGUGAGCUUAGGAGAAGGACAAGAGGUGAAGAUCGGAACAUGUAUCAUUGCGGAAAUGAAGCGAGACCUCAUUGAAUUGCUUCAAGAAUUUAAAGAUGUCUUCGCAUAGUCAUACCAAGAUAUGCCCGGGUUGGAUACUGACAUCGUGGUGCACCGACUCCCCAUAAAAAAAAUGUAAGCCAGUUCAGCAAAAACUCCGAAGAAUGAGGCCCGAUGUCUUGCUAAAAAUAAAGGAAGAGGUUUGAAAGCAGUUUGACGCUGGAUUUCUGAAGGUGGUAAAAUACUCAGAUUGGGUAGCCAACAUCGUCCCUGUCCCUAAGAAAGAUGGAAAAGUGCGAAUGUGUGUAGAUUACAGAUAUUUGAAUAAAGCCAGCCCAAAAGACAAUUUCCCACUACCUUAUAUCGACGCCUUAGUGGACAACACAGCGGGACAUUCACUGUUUUUAUUCAUGGACGGUUUUUUGGGAUACAACCAGAUCAAGAUGCAUAUUGAAGAUAUGGAGAAAACCACGUUUGUAACCAUGUGGGGCACGUUCUGUUACAAGGUGAUGCCGUUUGGACUGAAGAAUGCGGGGGCAACUUAUCAAAGAGCCAUAGUAACCCUUUUUCACAACAUGAUGCAUAAAGAGAUCGAGGUUUAUAUCGAUGACAUGAUCGCAAAGUCUCGAACAGAGAAGGAGCACAUUCAAGUCCUGAGGAAAUUGUUCUUGAGGUUGAGGAAGUUCCAGCUAAAACUCAACCCAGCCAAAUGUACCUUCGGAGCUAAGUCUGGAAAGUUGCUUGGAUUCGUGGUUAGUGAGAAAGGGAUUGAGAUCGAUCCAGACAAAGUUAAAGCCAUACAAGAGUUAUCCCCGCUGCGCACUCAAAAAGAAGUUCGAGGCUUUCUAGGAAGAUUAAAUUACAUUACUCGGUUCAUUUCACAACUGACUGAGAAAUGUAACUCUGUCUUUCGCCUUUUCAAGAAACAUAACCCAAGUGAAUGGGAUGAAGAAUGCCAAAGGGUUUUCGACAAGGUAAAACAGUACUUAUCCAAUGCCCCGGUGCUGAUGCCACCUAACCUUGAUAAGCUGUUGAUACUGUAUUUGGCAGUAUUCCAAAACUCAUGGGAUGCAUAUUGGGUCAGCAUGAGGAGUCAGGAAGGAAAGAGAAAGCCAUUUACUAUCUUAGUAAAGAGUUUAUAGAAUGUGAGGCAAGGUAUCCGCCGAUAGAGAAGUUGUGUUGUGCCCUAAUUUGGACAACCCGAAGACUGAGGCGGUAUAUGUUGUAUCACACCACUUGGCUCAUAUCAAAGUUGGACCCUUUAAAGUACAUGAUGGAGUCAACAGCCUUGAAUGGAAGGAUGGCCCGAUAGCAGAUUCUGCUUUCUGAAUUCGACAUAGUCUAUGUGAACCAGAAAGCAAUAAAAGGAAGUGCAAUAGCAGACUUUCUAGCCAGUAGAGCUUUGGAAGACUGCGAGCCUUUGAACUUCGACUUCUCGAAUGAAGACCUAAUGUGUGUUGCUACCACUAAAGAAGGUGCUCUGGAAGAACUUCCUUAGAAAUUGAACUUCAAUGGGGUAUCAAAUGCUGUGGGCAAUGGAGUCGGGGCCGUCUUGGUAUCCCCAAAUGGAGAUCAUUAUCCAUUCACUAGUAAAUUGGAUUUUGAUUGUACGAAUAAUAUGGCGGAAUACGAAGCGUGCAUCAUAGGUAUCCGCGCAGUCAUAGAACGCAAGAUUAAAGUGCUAGAGGUGUAUGGGGAUUCUGCGCUAGUGAUUUAUCAACUCAAAGGAGAAUGGGAGACCAGAGACCCCAAGUUAAUCGAUUAUCGGAAGCUGGUCCUGGAAUUGGUUAAAGAGUUUGAUGGCAUUACCUUUCACUACCUUCUACGAGACGAAAAUCAGAUGGCUGACGCUUUGGCUACCUUAGCCUCCAUGAUCAAGGUGAACAAACAAGAAGAUUUCAAACCCAUCCGAAUAAGCAUUUAUGAAAUUCCGUCCCACUGUUACAAUAUUGAAGAAAAUAAAGAGAAAGAUGAUCACCCUUGGUAUCAGGAUAUAUUGCAAUACGUGAAGAAUCGUGAGUACUCGGACCAGGCGAGCGAGAAUGACAAAAAAACAUUAAGAAGAUUGGCCUUCGACUAUGUCUUAGAUGGAGAUAUCCUAUACAAAAGAAGAAAGGAUCAAGUGCUACUAAGAUGUGUAGACACUGUAGAGGCUAAGAAAAUCUUGGAAAAAAUCCAUGAAGGUGUCUGUGGGACACACGCUAAUGGCUUUACAAUGGCCAGGCAAAUUAUGAGAUUCGGGAACUAUUGGUCCACCAUGGAAGGAGACUGUGUCAACUACGCUAAAAGAUGCUAUAAGUGCCAAAUCUACGGAGACAAAAUUCAUGUGCCUCCUUCACCGCUACAUGUCAUGAUUUCUCUAUGGCCAUUCUCUAUGUGGGGCAUGGAUGUGAUUGGACCAAUAUCGCCGAAAGCUUCCAAUGGGUAUCGGUUCAUUUUUGUGGUUAUCGACUACUUCACCAAGUGGGUAGAAGUCGCUUCGUAUGCUAGUGUGACGAAGUCGGCAGUGAGCAAGUUUCUGAAAAAGGAGAUUAUAUGUCGAUAUGGAAUGCCGGGGAGGAUCAUAUCUGACAAUGCAUUAAACUUGAACAACAGUACGAUAGCGGAGGUCUGUAGUCAAUUUAAGAUCAGACAUCACAACUCGUCACCAUAUCGCCCGAAAAUGAAUGGGGCAGUGGAAGCGGCCAAUAAAAAUAUUAAGAAGAUUGUAGGAAAGAUGACCGAAACCUACAGAGAUUGGCAUGAGAAAUUACCGUUUGCCCUAUUUGUUUAUCGAACGUCAGUUAGAACCUCAACCGGGGUAACCCCUUUCUCCCUGGUCUACGAAAAUCGAAGUCGAUAUCCCGUCUCUUCGAGUGUUGUCGGAGUUAAAGUUAGAAGAAGCCGAGUGGAUCCAGUCUUGAUUUGAUCCAUUGAACCUAAUUGAGGAAAAGAGGUUAAGAGCGAUCCGUCACGGUCAGAUGUACCAAAAGCGAAUGAUUCGGGCUUAUGACAAAAAGGUUCGCCCUAGAGAAUUCCACGAAGGAAACUUGGUUUUGAAAAAGAUCCUUCCCAUACAGAAGGACUUUCGAGGGAAAUGGAUGCCUAAUUGGGAAGGGCCUUACGUGGUGAAGAAAUCUUUCUCUGGAGGAGCAUUGAUUCUAGCCAAGAUGGACGAUAGAAACUUGCCCAAUCCUGUGAACUCAGAUUCGAUCAAGAAGUAUUUUACCUGAAGAAUUAGAGGCCAGAGCGAAAACCCGUAAAAGGCACUCUGAAAUAAAAAAAACGGAGAGGCCAAGGUGAAAACCCGCAAAGGGCACUUUGGAACCAAAUGGGCUUUUGAGUUGAAAACCCGAAAACAGGCAGCUCAAAUUUUGAAUUGGGCCAUAUGGUAAUCUUGUCCUUCUAAAAUCAACAAGACAGAAGAACAGUACACCUUUGAGCAUCAACAAAAUGCGCAGGAUCUCUUGAAUACACAUUUGGUUCAAAGGAGCCUUUGAGAAAUUAGAAUAGUAAAACUCGUGCUGCGAUAUCUGAGGCACAUUUUCUCAUUUUUUGCACCUUAUCAGAUUCGUAUUCCUAUGUAUUCACAUCAAAAUUUUGCUUAAUAAAAUUCCAUUUGUCCAUUAUGAUAAUCUCUUUCGAGUAUUUUUGUUGAAAUCACGAUUUUUGAACAUGUAAUAUCUACACACAAGAUGUUAUGCAUAUUACACUGGAAAAGUCUCUAAAUAGUACAAAGACCUGAAAUAGGGUCACUAGUCAGAACUAACCAGGUUCAAAGUUGGAAAACAUUGGAAAAACAGUAGUCCCAAAUUAGGAUUAUUUCUUCAAAUUUUCUGUCAAAGAUAACGGCUAAGCAAGAAGACGCGAUAGCACAUCAAAGAUAGAACCCGAAUGAAUCAUGAGCAAUGAUACCUUAAGCGUUUAAAGAGGAAUUAUUCUCAUAACACUUCUACAUUCAUAAUCAUUCAUUUAGUUAGGAGCACUUGAUUCAUCUCGAUCCUAGCAUCCUAAUUACUUGAUACAGGAAACCAAUUCUACAAAUCAUGUCUUUAGAAGACGGUGUAGUGACAUUGGCGAAUCCUACAGAUCCUGCUUCCCUGAAGUUGCAGUAGAGCAGAUCAAAGACGACGAAUCUUGACUUCCUGAAGUUGCAGUGAAGCAAAUUUAAGUCACUAACCUAGCUCCCUAAAGUUGUAGUGGAGUAGGUUGAAAUUUUAGAUCUCGUUUCCCUGAAGUUGCAGUGGAGCAGAUCAAAGACGAUGAAUCUUGACUUCCUGAAGUUGCAGUGAAGCAGAUUUAAGUCACUAACCUAGCUCCCUAAAGUUGUAGUAGAGUAGGCUAAAAUAUAGAUCUCGUUUCCCUGAAGUUGCAGUGGAACAGAUCAAAGACGACGAAUUUUAACUCCCGGAAGUUACAGUGAAGCAGAUUUAAGUCACUAACCUAGCUCUCUAAAGUUGUAGUGGAGUAGGCUGAAAUUUUAGGUCUCGUUUCCCUGAAGUUGCAGUGGAGCAGAUUGAAGACGGCGAAUCUAGACUUCCUGAAGUUGCAGUGAGGUAGAUUUAAGCCACUAACCUAGCUCUCUAAAGUUGUAGUGGAGUAAGCUGAGAAAUAUAGAUAUCGUUUCCCUGAAGUUGCAGUGGAGCAGAUCAAAGACGACGACUCUAGGCUUCCUGAAGUUGCAAUGAGGCAGAUUUAAGCCACUAACCUAGCUCCCUAAAGUUGUAGUGGUGUAGACUGAGAAAUAUAGAUUUUGUUUCUUUGAGAUUGCAGUGGAACAGAUCAAAGACGGUGAAUCUAGGCUUCCUGAUGUUACAGUGAAGCAGAUUUAGACUAUCGUCCUAGCUCCCUAAAGUUGUAGUGGAGUAGGCUGACGAUUGUAGAUCUCGUCUCCAGUGGAGCAGAUCGGAGAAAAUGAGCCUUAAACCCCUUAAGUAGUAGGGCAACAGGCUGAAGAUUGCAAGAUUUUGUCUCCCUGAAGUUGCAGUGGAGCAAAAUCAAAGUCACGAUCCUUAUCUCUCUGAAGUUGCAGUAGAGCAGGAUAAAAACACACGGACCAUGUCUCCCUGAAGUUGCAGUGGAGCAUAUUGAAGCUACUUGAAGAAAAGAAGCGUCAAUAAGUCGAGGCUCAGCAGGUCUCAGCAAAAUUGGCCUAUUUAUAGUCUUUGCUCUAUUCUCGUUACACGACAAUGAGCAAAGAGAGGCAGCUGUAGUGACCAAUUUUGGUCCGGGUCCGCUAAAAAAUCUCAAACCUAUAUAUAAAAUAAAUAAAUAAAUAAUAAAAAACCACAGUCCAAUUACAGAAACUAAUAGCCCAAACUAGCAACCCCAAACCAGUUACAUAACCCCAGCCCAACAACUAAACCUAACCCACACUUACAAGGCCCGAUAGGCCCAAAAAACUAAAAUUAGACAGAGCCCUAGCUGUCUGCUUGCGCCGCAGCAGUCCGAGCCCCCUAGCGCCUCCGUCCACGCCAACCCUGGCCUCCGUAUUGUCCAGCACAGCCUCCGUACGCCAACACAAUCCCGUACCCGAGCGCCACUGAUGUGAGCACACCCGGGGCAUCCUCGAAUGCACACCAAGGAUCUAUUGAGCUGCCAAAAGGUCCCAUGACCCGAGCUCGAACCAAGCAACUUCAAGAUGCUAUAUCAGCCUUUGUGAUGCGCAUUUGGGAUGAUAACCAGCUCUAUAACGUUGGAGGAGCUAAGAAUAACUCCUUGAAGACUCCAUGCACCAUUUUGCAAUCCGACCUCAGCUCCUCUUCAGCUCCCCAAUGCGCCAUUCAGUUCCCAUCAGCUCACUUGAGCUCGUUUUAGCUCGUUUGAGCUCGAAUUUAGCUUGUUUCAGCUCAUUCCUUUUUUAUUUCAAUAAAUUAAGUAUUAAUCUAGCUUAUAACUAAGUUUGUUACAGCUCAUGCCGAAUUCCCUAACUCAAUUUAGCUUACUAAGUGUUUUUAACUAUUUGAGCUUGCUGAAUUUAUUAUAAGUUGACUUAUAAUUAUUGUGUUCAAAUUUAGUUAGUGAUAUUAAGUUAUUUAGUUAUUAUUUUAAAUUAUAAUUAUAUGAAUAUUUGUGUGUUAUUUAAUUAUAUUAUUUAAUUUUUUAGGUUAGCCGAAUUUGGAAGAUACAUUCAUGGCAUUUAAUGCAAGGUGCAUGAACGAGAAAGUUCAUUGAACGGGAGGAUACAUGCAUGGACCGGUUCAAUGUUUGGAGGACAUACAUUCAUGUACAUAGAAGGUUAAUACAUAUUGAAAGGUGCAUCUCCCUUGGACGGCAUACAUGCAUGAAUGGGGGGUAAUCAAUGCAAGUGCAUGUACGGCUAGGUUCAAGGCCCCUUCCAAGUUCCAUGUACAACCGAUGCAUGUGGGAGGACCCUUGGAGUUUCCUAAGCACCUAUUCGGCCAAGAGGCACCCUUUGGGAGUUUCAUGCAUCCCAUGGCCGAACCUAGACAAUCCCAUUGGCUUCCAAAGCUUGCUCAUACAUGAAGCUGCCCAUUCAUCUCCCAUUCGGCCGAACAUGGACAAGGACACCAUUGGUCAUUUUUCUAGAAGGUUCAUGUCUUAAUUAGGUUCAUUACUUAAUCGUUAAGUUCAUGAAUGGACUAUUCGGUUAACAUAAGAAACUAGUAUAAAUAGUUUGUGGAUUUCAUUUGUAAAGGACUUUUGCCAAAAUUGUUAAUGAACAUUUGUUCUUGUGAGGUUGCUUCCUCUCAUAUCUCGUACAAGUUUCGAAAGACUUAUCUGGCAUAUGCUAGUGGCGUCAAUCGUCUUGUUUGAACUUAUCACCAAUCUUGGUGUGGCGUUCAUCUAUCCAUCUAUCCAUCUUUUCACCUUAACAAUAUAGGAACCGGGGUGACACUUCUUAGUGUUGAAUCAUUCCUGACGUUAAGUUCGUUUUCCAUUCCCAUCCUUCGAAUUAUUUUCUUGUUAUUCCAAACCGAGCCAUUUAACCAUCAUCCAUCUUUGCUACUAAAUCGAACCUAUUACUAAAUUCACCCUACUUUGAAACCUUUCGCUUACCCGUAUCUUUUCAUUCAUUUCUAGUUCUAAAACCCGAAGCACGAACGACUCUCUCGAACGACGAUCGAGCAACUAAGUGAAUUCGACUCAUCAUCCCGAGCUGGAUCACAUCAGCCACGCACCUGUACCUGUAAAGAAAUGGACAAAACGACAACAGACACAACAGCAAAUAGAAAGAAAAAAAACAUUAUAUUUUUUAUUAGCAUUUGGCUAUAAAGCCUACGGAUUCUGAUUGUAAAGGGGUUCCCCUUUUGAAAAUAUACAGAAAACAUAUGCAAUAGCAAAGCAAAAAGGCAAUAGACGAAAUAAGGUGAUUUUCCCUUCGUUUUUUUUAAACUCUCUGCUCUUCCUUUUUUUUAUCUACUCGAGUCCUUUGUUAUUUUAUCAUCAGAAAAAAGAAAGUGAAGGAACUCACCUGCGUUCCGAGGCCUUCGAGUCCUCGCUGGUUUCGCCACUAUCGAAACACAGUGGUGAUCUGGGAAUGGUAAGCAAGACCUACGAAUCUCUUUGGUUCCACGAAGCCUUGAUCGACCGUUCUAGAAGUUGAAAGGAGGGGCAGAGGAGCGGACGUGGGUAACCAUCGGUCAGCCGAAUGUUGGAGGGAGGAGUUUUGACCCUUUUCUUUUUGUUUUCUUCAAAAUAAGCGGCUGAGCAUUUUCCUAAGGCUAGUUUAGGCUCUUAUGGGGGGUAUUAGGUGAAGACGUUUGGGCCAAUGUCAAUGGUCUUAAAACAACACCCUUUGGAGCAACCCUAUACCCAAUAAUCUGGCCCAUACACACUCAAGGUCUGCAUAUCUGGUCGUGGAUGGGGUAUUUCCAACACAGACCUCCUCCUUUCGUGCCAUUUUCAAAUCAGCCCAUGCUCUUACCUUGUUUGUUUUAAUUUGCCCCUGUAACUUGCAUCCGUUUGCAAUCUGACCCACUCCUAAACACAACGUUUUGGGGAUCUGGUAUUUUGCCAGCUUUAGUCCCUAGAUGUUUUUGUGCGUUGGGUGUUGGUCUUCUUAUUAUUAUUGUCUUAUUUUCUACUUACCUCAUGUAUUCUAGUUUAAUUUUAAUCGAGUCCUUUUAUUUUAUCUCCUUUUUAUUUUAUUUUAUUUUAUUUUAUUUUUACAUUUUUAAUUAAUCUUGGUAAUUACUUCUCCGUUCUCGUAAAUUCUUUUUUUGUGUAAUAUUAUUAUCAUGUUUCGCACUCUUUAAAUAUUUAUUUCCUUUAUACUAUUAUACAUACACAUAUGUUAUAACAAAGUUAAUGUAUUUGCAUGUAUGUAAUGAUGCUUGACUCUAUUCAUGUAUUUUGGUGUAUAUUUUUUUUACUAUUUUAACACGUUUUGUACAUAUAUUUUGCGUAAAGUUUAAAUUAUUUUUAUACUCAUUUAUAUUAGUACACAUAUUCUAUAUAUUUCUAAAUCUAUACGUUUAUAUAUACACUCUCUUUACACAAAAGCAUGUUUUUUUAUCUAUUGUUAAUUUAUUAUAAAAUUAAUUUAGCUCUAUGAAUAUUAUCUCUUUUAUGUAGUUUUACAUGUAAUUAUUUUCAAAAGUUAUAUAUACAUACAUAUAUAUAUUGAUAUCAUUACUUUAAUAGGUUUUCCUACUUACAACUUUUUUGCUAUAUGAGUUAUCAAGUAUUUUCUUUAUGCAUGUAUAUGGAAGAAUUUUAGAAACUUUUUUUGUAAUUAUUAUUUUUGGAUGUUCCUUUGUAUUAAACCACUUUGUGUUUUAUAUAGUCCCUUAUUUAAACGUUUUGAUAUAAACGCAUGUAUAUACUUUUUAGACUAAGUUAAAGUUUUUUAUUAAUCUAAUGAUUAUUUUUAUAGCUAUCUAUAUAUACAUACGUUUUAUGAACAUACUUUGUGUACUAUAUUUUGCCAUAUGUCUUCAUUAUUCCUUUUUAUAUUAGACAUAUUAUUCAAGAUCGUCAUGUAGUUUGUCAACUUUAAAAUAUGUUUGUGUUUUUAAAAAAAAUUUACAUGCAAUUCGAUUCAAACUUUUAUUCUAUAAUAUCUAUUCCAAAAAUCAUAUAGCUAUCCCUAGUUUUCGUGCAAGUUUGUCAACCUAUAUAUAUGGGUCCAUUUAUUCGUUAUUAUUUCAAAACAGUUUUAUAGCACAUUGGCUUCUAAUUGUUAUGUUGUUUUUAUAUCUUGCAUUGGUUAUCCUAUAUCACGCUAUGUACAUUAUCGUGACAUAUUAUUGUAUGUAUUGUUUUGCUUGUGUGAUUGUUAUCAUUUUCGUCAUUGUAUUAAUCAUUUUAUUCCCCAUGCAUUAUUGUAAUUAUAUUACUUUUUAAAUUAGUCCCGCUUAAUUAUUAGUUUAUUAGUGGACCAUGUCUCGUACACACCCUUUAUCCUAUACCAUCAUUCCUCACUUAGUUUGCGAAAUAUGGUUCUUUUUAUAAAAUUCAAACUUUUUUACGAUUAACGUCAUCUUAUUUCAAAUCGAAUUAAUAUGUUUUUAAGUAUUCAUCCAAAAGUUCUUCAAAACGAAGACGAGAUUCGAUGUUUGGCAAUUCGUGAAAUCGUGCCCUAACGUGUUGGGUUGUAAUUUCGCGUUUGCUCAAAAUAAUCGAAUAUCACUUCGAAAUUUCACUCGCGUCUUUUAAAAUUCUUCAAAACGAAGACGAGAUUCAAUAUUUAGCAAUUCGCGGAAUCGUGCCCUAACGUGUUGGGUUGCAAUUUCACGUUUGCUCAAAAUAAUAGUAUCCCUUCAAAAUUUCAUUCAUAUCUUCUAAAAAUUAUUUAAAACAAAGGCAAUAUUUGGCGUUUGACAAUUCGAGAAUCAUGCCCUAUCGUGCUGGGUUGUGAUUUCUCGUUUGCUCAAAACGAUCGAACAUUCAUUUAUAUUUUCAUUCAUGUUUAUAAAAAAUUUACUUAACAACGAAGACGAUGUUCAAUGUUUGGCGAUUUGAGAAUCGUGCCCUAUCGUGCUGGGUUGCGCUUUUUCAUUGGUUCGAAACAAUUGAACAUCCCUACAGAAUUUCACUCACAUUUUUUAAAAUCCUUCAAAAUGAAGGCGAUGUUCGAUGUUUGGCGAUUUGAGAAUCAAGCCCUAUCGUGCUGAGUUGCGCUUUUUCAUUUGCCCAAAAUAAUCAAAUAUCUCCUCGAAAUUUUCACACGUAUUUUAUAAAGUAAGGCAAUGGUCAAUAUUUGGAAAUUCGAAGAAUCGUACCCUACUGUGCUGGGUUUCGAGUUUUCGUUAGACUAAAUAGUUGAGCAUCCUUCUGUAAUUCUCAAAUUAUAUACUUUCGGACAUUAAAACAAGAAAUUUUGGCAACCAACUCGGAUUACUCAAACGUUAUAAAAGGAACCACAUUUCAAAAAAACUUUUAAUUUAGACAUAAGGACAGUAUUUAAUCGAUUUGGUACCAAUUUUGGGCGUAGUGAGGGUGCUAAUCCUUCCUCAUGCGUAACCGACUCCCAAAUCCUUUUUCUCAAAAGUUCGUAGACCAAAAUCGCUGUAUUAAUAAACCAAAAAUGUUUUAUUGAACUAACCUCAUUCUUAGGUGAUCCGGUCACACCAAAAAGAUCGGUGACGACUCCAUAUUUCUAUUUUCCAAAAAGUCGAUUUCCCUCUUUUUUUUAAUUUAAAAUUUUUUUAAAUCGGGGGAUGGUUUCGACAGGCUAUUUUCUUUGCUCCUCUGUAAAUCAACAGUAAAGCUAUUAUCAGAUAACUUCGUCUGGACCGGACCAUGGAGACAUCUGCUGUGGAAUCUAAAAUAAUUUAGCAGUAAUAAAAUGACAAGAUGCGCAUCAAUUUGUAAGUAUGAAAAUCAAGUGCUCGCUUGCAUCAAAAUAUAUGCAAGAUCAAACUGAAGAAAUGAUGCACCCAGUAUUAAUAUAUGCAAAAUACAUUGAAUAUACCCAAUAAGCAGUUUCUCACAAACUAAACCAAUAAACAGCAAAGAAAAAGCAUAAGCAAUGUAUAAACCCGUGUUUAUUUAAUAACAUGAGACCUCAUAACCUUCUACAAAAACUGACUACUGGAACCAAGCUCAUAACCUCAUAACCUCAUAACAUGAGACCUCAUAACCUCAUAACUGCUCACAAGCUGUACCAUCUGGAACCAAGCUGACUACUGGAGAUGAUCAAAAUGACCUGUUAUUGGGUUUGGAUGAUGAAGAUGACUUGGCUUUGGCAAAAUCAACCAGGUCUUUGAAGAGAGCAUCUUCUGGUUUUUCUUGUUUGGUUGGGAUCGUUGAGUUAAGGGAAAGAUUUUGAGUUUGUCCAACCAAGCCAUCAUAGGAGGAACCUGAUCCGUUACUGGAGUUAGAAGAACCACCAGGAUAACCAUGUUGUUGUUCAAAGAACUGCUGUCUCUGAUUAAACUUCGAAGGCGGUGGUGGAAGGUUUCCUGCAGCAGUGUCCCAGGGUGCUGGAGGCAGCAACUCAGAAUCAGCAGAUUUGCUCAGGGAAGCCGGUUUGUCGUAUAUAGGCUGCCCACUGAGCAUCGGUGAGGAACCAGAGUCACCUGAAGGGUAAGGAGGUGAUGAUGUACGAGUGCGAACAGAAUGAGCUGCAGGUUCUCUUGUUUCAGGGGAAUUCUCAGAUUUGUAGGUAUCACCACUAAGGUAAUCAACCAUGCCGGAAUUUGUAGCAACCAGACUUUUUGACGGGGGUGGAGGAGGAAGAAAUGGAUCAACUCGCCCAGUCUCACUUUUAGGCGCUCUCCUGCCAUGUCCUUGAGAAUUAUCCCUUGAUGAUCUGUAAUAAGCGAAUACAGAGAUUCAUUAAAUUUAGAUCAAAAGCGAAAAUAGCAUAGGCAAGAAAUAAGUAGUCUUUAUGCAUGUUUAACAAGACGGGAUGCAUAGAGAGAAUAAGUAGACAACUGCUACACUUUCAUCCAUAAAAUCCAGCUAUAACUUCAAGCUUAAGUUCAAUUAUAUAAAUAAUGGGUUCCUCCAGUGGAAACAAAAAUCCCAAUGAAGAUCAGGGAAUGCAACACAUGGACACAAGUUGGUUAAUCGCCCAUGGUUCAUUUCCAUGUGCUAAGUAGAUAAAUUACAACUGGUAAAACUUAUUUGGGCCUUUCAUGGUUUCCAAGCGCAAGGCUAAUCUGGUGGACUAGAAAUAUUUAAGGCAAAACUAGCAGAAAAAUGUUUUAAAGCAAACAUAGAAGGGAGUGAGGAAGAAUAACACAAUGGAGUCACCUAUGAGAUAGCUGAGCAAAUUCAUCUUCCGACUCAUCAUCCUCAUGGUUAAUAUUAACAAAUGGCACAACAGGAGUCUCUGCUACUGCUCCAGUCGGAACAGUAUUUCCUUUCAGAAUGUCAUCAUGCCGGCAAAGAACACGUUGCAAGCUGUCAUUUAGUGCUAACCCCUGACACAAAAGUUCCUCAUCUCUGAAAAAGAAAAAUCAAUCAUCAGCAUCAUUCUAACAGGAGGAAAUCAAGUGAAGAUACAAGCAGAUUCUCACGUGGUAUUAUUAACAAGAAGCAUCACACGCUUUUGGUAAGAACGGCAUUGAUCAACAAGGUCAACAAUGACUUCUUGCUUCACAGCCUGUAUAACAUCAAAAACAGUGAAGAAGUAAUCAUUUGACUUGCAUCAGGCUAAAAAUAGUUAUUAAUUUAAUCACCUCGCAUGCAUUAGGAUUGUUCAGUUACAAACUAUAAUCAGAGAAGAAUAAGUAAUGAAGUUCAGAAACAGAAUGAUCCUACAGACAGACACAAAUAUCCAGUGUAAAAAAAGAGUGCAGAACAUAAAUUAAUCAGAUUUAUCUAAUAAUUUCAGUAAUAAACAAAGAGAACCCAUUUAAGAGUCUGCAGCAGAGGUGUUAUGCAUCAACUUAAAACCAAUUAAACCCAACUUGAAUCUAUAGGACCACAUGAAAAACCAAUACUCAAUAGAUGUGGUAUAACACCACUUACACUCCCAACACAUGUAGCUCAACAAGGUCUUACCAGUGGACAACCUCAAUGAAGGUCAUAAACCUCAAAUGGAGUUAGGCAACAAAACACACCUGGGCUCCAAUAAGAUGCUAAUCCGACCUAACACUAAUUGGCAGGCGAAAGGGUCUAACUUGAAUACAAGACCAUAUAAACCCUAUGCUUAAAUAGACCUUGGAUAACACCACCUAACAAGGGUGUUAGAUAACUUGGAUUCAAUUGAAAUUAAGGAAUUAUUCAUCAUAAUGGAAGGCAGAAAAAUAAUACGAAGAACCAAACAGGUACUGUUGCCACAGAUUUAAGAAAGCACAUUACACAAAGCGCAACAGAAAAAGAAGAUUAAUUAAGCUAAUCGCAUAUAAACAGAUUAAAGCAUUGCUUGGUAGAGUGGAAAGAAAAUUGUAAAGAUGGAAGAUUGAAGGGAUAGAAAAAUAGAAAACUGGAAAAUAUAAUUUAUCUUUCCGUUUGUGAGCUUCAUAAGAAAGAGGGAAAAAUUUGUUGGGGGGGGGGGGAAUCUUACUUUUUCUUUCUAUCUGGUGCUUGGUAGAGUUGAAAAUUGUAAGGAAAGAAACUAAAACAUUUGAAAAAUGCAUAAUUUUGAACUAACAUACACCUCUCUCUCAUUUUCUCUCCUUUCAUCAUUCAAAUUUGGAAGGAUUAGUUUUUCACUACCAAGCACACUCCAAAUACAUUUUCUUUGCACUUUUCCACUCCCUCCUCCCAUCCCUCCACUUUUCCACCCAACCAAGCACACCUUAACUUUUAGAAAAAUAACCUUCCCCUGUACUAAAAAAAAAAAAGGUGAAAGCAGUAUGUUUAUCAGCAAUCAAACAAGCAGAAAAUUAAAACACAUAGACCACAAUGACAAGCAUAAUGAUCCAUUUGAAGGGCAACAUUUUUACCUCAGGAGUCUUGGGAUCCAAUGCACUAAGCAUUUCCAUUAAUAUUUCUGCUAGUCCAGAAGCAUUUUGAAUCUCCGGCAAGCUGGAAAAACACGAGUUUCAACUUCAAUCUCUAGAGGCUAUGGUAACAGAAACAAUGCAGGUUUAUGCAGGAAGUUUACACGUCAGAAGCAAAGGUGGAAGAGAGAUGCAGCAUAGUAACUUUGCAGUGGUUUAUUAUGGUUUAACCAAGUGGAAAGAGAAAAUACAGCUUACACUUUAUGUCCUAAAAUUGGAAAUAUUAUCUUCGAAGCAAAGAUAAGCUGGUCACAACAAUCUAUCAGAAGUAAAACCUGAAGUGAUCUUUUUUAUCAUCGCAGUGAGUUAAAAUCUAGUAAAUUUUCUAACUUCCAAUUAUCUUGAACAAUUUACUUAACUAUUAAAGAAGAAAAUGGGUUUAAAGAAAGGUUUUCAGAAAAUGCCCUGCUUCAUUUUUAGGGUUAUUAAAGAAAAUAAAUUCAAACAUUUCAUUUAUACAUUAUUGUAGAUUUUAUAUAAAAAAUACAUAUACUGAAAUAUUCCAAGGAAAAUGCAAUAGAAAUUGUGAGAUAAUAAUGCAAAUUAUAAUGAUUAUUAUUUAGCAUAAUUUACAAUAUAUAUCUAACAUAAAAGUAAACAUGACAAUUUUGCAGACAGCCAAAACAAGUCUUCUUCUUUCAAUCUAAGGGACUAUUCAGUGAAGCAAUAGUUCCAAAAUCCUCAUCCUGUCAAACAUGUUUUAAGUCAAAGACAGCUAUCUAAUCCACAACCAGAACAUAACAGUUUUAGCACAUAUAAUACCUGAGGCCAGAAGCAUCAGACUGUAGAGAGGCCUCAAUAGCAGCAUCCUCAUAUGUAGAAGCAGGGUGGUGACUUACUGGGUGGGUCUGAGGUGGAGUAAAUAAUGGUACAGUAUUCUCUUCUCUAGGAGGAAAUUCAACUCCAGCAGCCUGAUAAAUACCAAAAAGAAAAAAGAAAAGUUUAAGAAAUUAUGGAGAGAUGUGUGUGUGAGUGUUAAGCAUAGCAGCCCCUGCAGUCACUAGAACCCUAGGCAAACAAACUUAUUUGGUUCAACUCUAGAGAAAAGAUAAUCUAGGGAAAAUGCAAGGUAAAGGAGAAAAGUACGAUCCUCCAGUCUUCCAUCACACACUAACAAAACUAAACAAUAAAAGCAGUCGUUUCUCUCAAAACAUAAUACAGAAGAAAUUAAAGUGAUGUAUUACACGGAUCAAAGUGCAGCGACCCUUGAACCUAAUGCAUUUAGGAAUAACAAGAACAUACUUGAUAAUAUUUAUGCUUGGAAAAUUAGAAGCUUAUGAAGGGCCAACAAAAGAAGGGAGAGGCACACAGAGGCAUGAGAAAACAUUUACCUGUAGUUCAUUAUAUGCGGCAAAAUAUUGAGGAUACCUUCCACUAGAUCCUCCAAGGGCUUCUUGCCAUGUGUCUAUCAAAAUAAGUAUUUUUUCCCUAACAUUCAAGUCAGGCUGCACAGUAAUCCAGAAGGAAGAAUACAAGUAUUAAAUACCAGAAAGGGGGAAAACUAACAAGAAAAAUCAGGUAUCAAAAGUCAGGUGAAGAUAACUCACCUUCUUCUUUACUAUUUUAACCAUUUCACGCAAGAUAUCGCGCUCAACAAUCUGCUGAAAAACAUGCUCGCCACAAUUUUUGCUGAGAGAAUCCAAUACCUGAACCAAGAUAUCAGAUAUAUUGUGUCUGUUACCUCCUUAUCAUCAUGCACCACUAAGAGAAGGGGGGAUAGUACCAAGUUAAUAGUCACUUGGAAACACAUGAUUAAAGUAAGUUAUCAAAAACUAACUUAUAAAUGUUAUUACACCAAUAGAGUAGAUUUCAAGUAAAAUAAUUAAAAGAGAUAUCUAUAUGUAUGACAUAUGAACAUGGGGAAACAUGUAACUCACAAAAAGAGCUAAUAGCUGUAUUUUUGGAUUUUUACUGCCCAGCCGCUUCUUGAUGAUUUUCAACGCAUCCUUAGCCUGCCUGCAAUAGAAAAAUAAAGAAUGUCAAUCAAAUACAUUAGGAUUCUGCCAUGCAUCAGGCAAUGUAAAUAAGAGGCUAGGGAGUUAUAACAAGGCAGCAAUGAACUACACCUAAGCACAGGACAACCAUGCAACUUUCAUAACAGAUGGUGCUCCGGUUCUAUCGAAACCUUGGAACACAAUAAUCAUACUUCAAACAAUUAAAUAGAUCUUUCUUCUUAUUCAAACAUUUUCAACUCUUAUUCAGACUUCAAAUCCUUCAAUGCUUUUCCUAAGAAAAGAGAUAAAUACAACCCCAGGAAACUACCCAGUUAUACAAAACACAUAUGAAAGACAUUGAAGCCAGAUAAAGCGAUCGCUAUAUGUUGUACAUAUACUGAUAUACUUAUGUACAUAUGUGUAUAUAUGUACAUAUAAUAGUAAAGGGGAGAGUAUCCAAGGAAAGAUCGAUAAGUUAAUAGAGACACAUAGACAUGUAUACCAAACAAUAUACUUCCAACAGAACUCAAGAAUAGCAAGUCUGUAGCAUAUGGCAUUCUACAAUAUAAUAUGGAGUCAAGUGUACAUUCUAACCGGGAUAUGUCUUCAUAUCUUGCUCACAGACAUUCCAAAAUUUUAACUUACACAGUCAAGCUAAAGGAAUCCAAGAGUAGAGUACAAGCAUGCAUGUGCCUUAAAAUUCCUCUUCUUCCUUUGUCAAAGUCACAAAAAUCUCUCCUUUCACCCCUUAUUCAUGGCAUGUAAAUCUUGCAUAAAUUUUCUCUCUACUCUUACAAGACCCACAGGAUGCCAUACUUGAAAGAUCCAAAAUUCUUUCCCUUCCACCUUCCCUCCCUUCAACACUCUCUUGGAAAAAUCAAGUCAAGACAACUUGCCAUUAUCAUUAUCAGGCCAAACUCCUCUUGAUCGAAGUUGGAAAGCUUAGCUCUUAUCGACAUCAAUGGCAGAGCAAAUCAAGAUAACCAAGCAAUCUCCCUCCAAGCUCUGCCUCUUUCCUUAUUGGAGAACAUCUGAACUAAAUUGAAGUGUCCCCCAAAAGUGCAUCACAAUCUCUUCUAAUGAUAUAUUAUACUAGGCAAAGAUGGAUGGCAUAAAAAAUUUGGCCUAAAAUAAUUUAAAUAGUGAUUACAGUACUCUCGGCAAACAAGGAUUGCAAGUUCAAAAAUCAUUAAAGUAUCCCCAUUGCAGUAUUCAUACCACAAUUUGCAUAGGUAGAAGUACUCCUGCUUCCGAGUAAACCAAACAAAAAUUCCAAAAUAACAAUUAUAGGUACCAGAAUGCAUCAUACAACAGAAAUUAUGAAAGUAGAUAAAAAAAACGCCGCCAAACAUAGAAAUAAAAGGAAUCAUACCCUGGGUCCAUGUUUAUAAUGUCACAUAGCUCAAUGUUUAGAGCCCAAUCUGGACCAAUCAACAUAUCAUUGGUUGCCCUCUCAGCACAUGCUGCCGCGGUAUGAGCCAUGUUAUCUGCCUCUCUUGUGAAGUAACAAAUCCCUGUUUAUUGUAUAAGCACAGCCUACAAAAAAGUCAAUCACAAAACCAUUUAAUAUCAUGAAUAUGAAAAUUAAAAUUACGAGUUUAACAACAUGAACAGCAGAUCAGACGCAUUUCUAGGUAAACGCUCACCAAAAUCAGCUCUAGACGAUGGUCAUCAAUAAACCCAAUUUUGCAAUUAAAAGAAACUAUAGCUAACUCUCUCUAAAGAAUAAUAACAGUCCGUAUAGAAAAAAAAUUUCUUAAAAGUAGAUAAAAAGGAUACCAAGAAUUGAAUCCCCAAAAUUAUCCAUAUAUCCUUAAAAGCCACAAAUCAUAGAAAAACCCAGGACAGUAAAUAAAAAAAAACCCAGAAAGGAAAUCAACAAAUUUGAUAGUAGUUGCAAUAAAAUAGUAAGCUUGAAUAACAUUAACUUACCCCAAGUGAUCAAACCAAUAAAACCCACUUCACCCCGAAAAAGAAUUAAAUAACAAAGAAAUCCUUGAAGGGUAUGGAUUGAGGUUUUUGCCUGACUAAACCGACCAAGAAGAAGAAGGGAGAGAGAGAGAGAGAGAGAAAUUGGGUUAAUAGGAAGCUUAAACUAGUCUGCGUUUUCCGUGGGACGUUGUUGAAGACCUUUCAGCUUUUGUUUUCGUGAGGCUUUUUUAUUUUGUUUUGAUAAUUUUUCUUUGCUUUUUUUUUUUUUUCUUUUUUCAAUUUUGGCUUUGCGUCAGGCAUUGGGUAGUCACUACAUGUUGGAAUCAAAUUGGACUUGUUCUUUUUUUAUUUACUUUAGGUUCUUUUUUUUUUUUUUAAUGUCAAUUUUGUGGAAAGAAGUAAAAAGAAAAGAAGAAGAAGAAGAAGAAGAAGAAGAAGAAGGAGAAGAAAGGGGUUAGGCUGAAUUUUCAAUGGUUUUUUUUAAGUUAAAACCUAAAAAGAAUUCCUUGUGACAGGCUGUGAUGAUGGUUUGGGUGACCAAACCAUUAAUAUUAAUCCAUCUCACGAGAAAAUUGGUUAAAUAAAACAUAUUCCAAGUUUUAUGAGAAUAAAAUAAUAUAUAAUAUUUUAUUUGAGUCAACAAUUAUGAAAAAUCAAUUAGUUUUAAUGCAAAUUAAGGGUUUAAACAAAUUAGAAUAAAUAAAUCUAAAAAAUUAAAGGUGGGUCGGUCACUGAAAACAAAUUAAGGGUUGUGAACCAUAUCUUAAUCUAAGCUUAAACAAUUUAUUUAUUUUACAGGAUUUCCUAUUUUGACUUUUAUCUUGGAAAUUUCUAGAUUCAAAGGCGUGUACAUGUUGGAGAAAUUAAUAACUCCUUUUUUAUAUAUCAAACUUAUUAUUUUGAUAUGAAUUAUGUGGAUAUUUAUUUUUAUUUACAUCCCAUUUUUUUAUUUGAUUUUAGUUUUUAUUAUAUAAAAAUAUAUUAUUUGAUUGGCCAUAAUUGGGGGCUGGGUGGCUAGAGAGAAGUCAAGCCAACCCAAAUUGUUAUAUUUGGUCCUACUUUCCCAUCUUCUUUUUCUUUUGGUCCUAUCUUAUUUGCAUUUUGCACCACAUUCUUUAUUUCCAUGUCAUCAUUAAGUUGUGUUUAGAAAAAAAAAAUUAAAUAAAAAAUGAAGUUCAUAUGAUUAUUUCUAAAUUUUCAUUAAAUAAAUGGAUAGAUUUAAAAUGUAUUUUAUUAUGCAAUUCGAAACUUCGUUGUUUGGAAUCCUAAGGUAUUCAAAGGCAAUUAAUUCUAAAUUCCCGGUUGACAUUUUGGGUUGAAAAAAGUAGUGGGAAACGUAGAGUGUUCAUACAAUAACCUUGUUUUGUUAUGAUCCAAUGACUUUUCUAUCUCUAUCCAAAGAUUAAAUGGACAUCAUGACCCCAAGCUACAAAAUCAGAAAUUAAAACUUAAUCAUUUUAUUAUGUUUCAUUUAAAUUAAAAUUUUAGGAGUAACAUCUAAUUCGAUAUUUGAGAAUGUUUAGAUAAAUUUAUUAAGAAUUAAUAUAUGAGUUUGACAAAAAAAUUUAAGCUCAUUUCAAAUAUAGGCUAGGCUUAGAGAUCUAACAUUCAAGGUAUAGGUUUAACUCGUUUUUAUAUUGUAACAUAUUAUUUUAAUUUAUGUAUUUUAUAUUAUAUAAAAAUUAAAUCCAUAAUAAGAUAUAAUACUACAAUGUAAAAAAUAAAACUUAUGUUUAUUAAUUAAUAAAAGAAAAAGAUAUAAAAUUAUUGAACAUUAAAUUAAAGAUAGCAUAACUUUUAUCAAAAUUAUAGGUGAGCCUAAAAUAAGAUUAAAUUAAUUCUACAAUAAACAAAUUUUGAGGUUAUAUUUUGGAAUUCGACCUAAGCAAAUAUAGAUUAUACGUAAUGAUCUAACCCAAAUCCAUUUCAACUUGACUCAUGAGCGCUCCUUCUUUCCAUGUAACAAAAUGCAUAGCUUCAUCAUGGGGAGCAUAGCAUGAAUCAUUCAUUCCUGCUCAACAUUGUGCUUGAAUCUAGUUUUCAAAAUAAUAUUUUGGUUACAAUUUGUUAUGAGCUAAGAGAGUUUAGAGAAAAAAAAAAGGUUUGGUGAUUUUGCAAAUAUAAAGUAGCAAAUUCAAGUUUGAAGUAUUUGAGUGAAAGGAAAGCUUACCAGGGGUAAGAAAUUAAAUUGUUAAUUUAGAUUAUAUAGAAAAUUCAAAAAGAUGUAUGGUUAGUAUAGUACGAUGUGACUUUAAGUGCACUGAAGCGCAUUUUAUUUUUUAAAGAUUAAGGAGGAAUUAUAAAUAAUUUUAGGCAUUAUAUCAAAAAAAAACAAAGAUUAAGAAUUGUGAUACUAUACUUACAUAAAAAGAAAUAAAUCAAAAAAUAAAAAAGAUGUGUUGAUGCAAAAUGUGGUAAAGAAGGCUACAAAUGGUUUACAAAAAGGAGUUGAAAAUUAUUAGGUGAAGUUACGAGGGAGAAUUUAGUGACAUAUAGGAAAAGUUUAGGUAGGGACUUUGUGGUAGAUUUUUUUAUACAGAUAUGUGUGGAACAAGAUUGUAAGUUUGUUUAAGUCGCAGAUUUGGCUUAAGGCUCUAAAAGAAGGAAAGAAAAACUUAGAAUUUGACACAACUUAAAACGCAAAUAAAUCCAAGUCAAAUCUACAAAUUAAAAAAAACAAUAAUUAAGAUGAAAAGAAACAAGAACAAUUAAAUAAAUUAAAUAUUUGAACAAUUAAACAAAAAUAAGAUAGAAUAAAGAAGAUAAAUGAAAAAGAUAGAAAGUGGCCCGUAGAAGUUCUAAAAAGCCUUGGAAACCUAAUAAAUUCAUAACCCUUUUCGAACAGCUUUAAUUUUCCUUUUAAGAAAUAAAAUUUGGUAAGAAAAAGCUUGAAAAUGAUUCCACAAUUUAAAAAGAUUGUUAAAAUUCUUAUAAAAGAAAACUCCAGAGAAAUUCUUUAAAAAAAAUUUAAAAAGAACUUUAUUAACUCAAAAUAAAUAAUAAAUGAAUAGACCUUUAUAUAGGCUAACUAAGUACAUCUAAAUAAAACUCCGAAGUUUAUUGAAAGUACUUAAUCUAAACAACAAGUAAUUUUAAACUAAACAUUUUUGUUGACAUAAAGCUCGUAGAUAACUUAAAAUACUAAAAAAAAUUAUCUAAAAUUCGGAAUAAAUAAAUAAUAAAAUAAUAAAACUCGAACCCAAUCUGAUUUAAACUCGAAUAAAAAGCCUGAAGCUCGUUCAAAAAUUAUGCUCACACAGUCUUUACUAAAACGGUCAUAACUUGAGUUCUUGAACUCGAAAUUGAGUGAUUUAAAGUACAUUAAAAAGCUAAUAGACAAAUCUUCAAUUGAUAAGUAGACAUAUUGACCCAAAAAUGCUUAGACCCCUUCCAAAAAUGGUAUAUGGUAUAUGAUAAGUACCAUAUUAGAGAAAAGUGUCAAAACAUGAUAUAUGGUAUAUUAAGUGGAAAAUCAUUCCAUACACAGCUUGUGGAGUUUUUUAGGUUCCACAACUGGGUUGAAGGUAUAACAAGUAUCUUAUGGAAUACAGUAAACAAUAAAAAAUUUUAAUUAUAUAAUUAGAUGGGACACUUGUCAUAUUUUCAACCAUGUUAGUGGAGUCUAAAAACUCCAUAAGUUAUGUAUCAAAUAAUUACCCACAUAUAUAAACUUAUAUACGUGGGUAAUUAUUUGAUACAAUGAUAGUCAAUUUAUUUUAAUUUCACAAGCAGAGUUGUUUUAUUUAUUUAGUUUUUAUUAUUUUAAAUAUCAAUUAAUAAAGCAUUAGUUGAGUGGUAAAUUAAAAGUUUUAAUAAUGCAAUUGAGGUGGGUUUAAAUCCUAUCAUUUUCAUAAUUUUAUUGGUUUUUAAAAAUAAAAAAACUAAAGUAUCCUUGAAUAAUAUAAUUUAUUUUUAUUAUAGAAUAGCAUUUCCGUAAUUUACUUUUAACCAGGCACCAAAUCAUUUAAGAGCUUAAAUAAUUGUAAGUAUAGAUAUACAAUUGAUGAAAAUAAUAAAAUGUAUAAUAAAAUUAAAAUUUACAAAAAUAUCAACUUGAAGCAUUGGCAGAAUGAUAAAAUAAAUGUUUUGCUAAUGUAAUUGAUUGAAUGUGGGUUUAAAUCUCACUAGUUUCAUAUUUUUAUUGAUUUUUUAAAAUAAAAGAAUUAAAAUACCCUCGAAUAAUAUAACUUAUCUUUUAUUACGAAUAGGUAUUUCUAUAUUUCUCAUAACUGAGUUGGUACUUGGUUAACUUAUGACACCAACUCAAUCAGGAGAUUAAAUAAUAGUAAGUAUAAAUAUACAAUUGACGGAGAUGAUAAAGUGUGUAAUAAAAUUAAAAUGUAUAAAAACGUCAAAUUAAUGCUUUAGUUGAGUGGUAAAUUAAAAUUUUUACUAAUAUAAUUUAUUGAUGUGGAUUCAAAUCUCACCAGUUUCAUUUUUUAUUGGUUUUUAAAAUAAAAAGACUAAAAUACUCUUGAAUAAUAUAACUUAUUUUAUUGUGAAAGGGCAUUUCUAUAAUUUCCAUAAUCAAGUUGGUGCUCAGUUAACUCAUGACACCAACUCAAUUAUAAGCUUAAAUAAUAGUAUAGAUAAAAUAAUUAUAAUAAUUCUAAUUAUUUUAUUAAUUAUGUUUUCAUUAUUAGGCCUUGUUUGAUUAACUACUGAAAAAAUUAAAUUCAUUGAAAAUUAAUUUUUUUCAAUGAUUUAAUUUUUCACUCGUGUUUGAUAAUCCAAAAUCAAAGCAAUCUGGUAGUGUUAGAAGCCCAAUUUAGCCCUACUAACCCACCAAAAUUAAACUAAUAACCCAAAUAACCCCAAAAAAAUUAAACUCAAACCCUUACAAACCAAAACCCCAACCCGUCAGCCCAAAUAUAUUAUAACUAAACCUAGCCCAACACCCAACUAAACCUAGACCUAGCCCAACAUCAGAAAAAACAAAACAAAAAAGAAAGAAACCCUAAUUUCCUAAGUCAAGCCGCCACCACCAACUCCUCUGAUGCCUCUGCCACCACCCACCGCCACCUGCUCUACCGGCCAUACCUUGCAAAGACAAAGCAAACAAGCAAGAGAGAAAGAAAAAAAACAGUUUGUAACUUGGCUUUAAAAAGCCAAAACCGAAACUAAAGAGGGGGGUUUUUCUUUUUUCUUUCUAUUGAAAUAAACCUAGACAUUGAAAACAAAAAGGCAGAGAUCUUCACAACAUCAAAAACAGAAGAACAAACCAAACUAAAAUAUCAAAAUACCGAAAAAAGUUAGAAACUCAAGGUGAUUUUUUUAGUUUUUCAACCGGAUUUAUUUUCUUUUUUUUUCCUCUUUUUGCUCUCUAGUUAUACAUAUAUACAUAUUUUUUUAAAAAAAAGAGAAAAAUUUUACCUUUCGCGGUGGCCGGCGACGGCGCCGGUGGUGGUGUGCGGUGGCCAUCCUGGCCGAGUUCUAGGUUUGCCCAGAGAGAAAAAUGAGCAUUCUCCUUUCUUUUCUUUUUUUUAAAACAGUGUAACUAAUGAAAGCAAAA